rnacentral:lncRNA from 1 species
ACGGCGUUGCUCAGGAGUCAAACCAUCAUCUUUGUUCUUGCCUUUGCCACCAGUCCUUGCCUGAGCUCUUUCUCUAUCUUUCUCCCUCUGGUUUCCGCGUGAGAUCCCAAUCCAGUCAAAGAAAUUUCCCAAAAUUCACAUAUACUCAUGAAUAAAUGCAGCAUAAAAUUGAAAUUAAUCAAAAAAAGAAGCGUAAUUAAAGGAUAUGAGUCAUGGUGAGGACGCCGGAGAAGUCGCCGGAGAAGAAAGUCUACGCCGAGGAAGAAAAAUAAAUCAGAGAGCUGUCAACUAUGUGGUUCAGUGCGUGUUUUUUGGGGUUGAAAUAAUAGUUAAAAGUAGUUUGGAUUGGACCGUACUUGGGCAUAGUUUUGGAACUAGGAAUUGGGCGAGCCUUUCGACUCCAAACCUGACCCGUCCAUGGCCACAUGGGCCUGGUUUGAAUAUUUUAAGGAUUCAGCUCCUCUGCGAUAAUUGUAAAAAUAUCGUUGAACCCACACGGGCCACAUGGACUAGUUUUGUACCCAUUCGUUGAACGGAAUCGUAAAAAAAAAAAAUAAACUAUUUAGUCAAUUUUAUAAAAAUAUCGAUAUAAAAUACAAAUUUAAUGUAUAAUCUAUUAUAACUUAUUUUAAGUAUAUUACUAUGUGCGCAUUGUAAUAAAAGUAUUCUUAUAAUAUAAAUUUGAACAUCUAAUUCAAUGAUUAAUAAUUCAAAAAUGGAAAAAAUAACAUUCAACAAUACCAUAACAUUCAAAAAUUUGACAAUAAAUAAAAAGUGCAGUAAAUAGUAUCAAAUAAUAUUCUACUCUUCAUAAACUUGUUUUUGUUUUUCUUCUGUUUAAACAUUCUUCUUGAUUUGUCCGUGCAACUUAGCAUUCAUUGAUUUUUCAUUAUCACUGCAUGAUAGCAAAGCAGGAUAACUAAGUAUUAAAAAAUAAAUGAUUUAUUGCAUUCAAGAUUAUGUAUAACAAUAUGUAAAGAUUAUAAUUUAAGAAAAUAAUAUAGUAUAUUAAAUCUACCUUCUCAUGCAAAUCUUUUUAUGAGGAUUCCCUUUCUCUGUGGUUUUUGUUGAACCCUCUGAUAAAUGAUUCAUAUGAAGUGUAUUGAAAUACUGUUGAUUAGAAUCAUCUGUUGUACUAAUUGGGAUAUGAGAAAAAGAUACUUUAGGUUGGUAUUGGUUGUCGGUUCUGCCAAUAUGAUAAUGAUUUAUCAAAAUUAAAGGUAAAAAUAUUAUGUGAGAUAUAGUAUGUGAAAUACAAGAGAAAUUUAUUGUACAUUACCUGUGAAUGCAUGAAAUGUGUUUCCCUCUUGAAAUCAUAGUGGAACUAUCUAGUCACUAUAAAUCAUUAAAUCUAUUAAUACCUUGUUUCAAAUUGUAAUUGUUCAACUUGAUUUGGAAUAUAAAAGGUUUUCACGUGAUUUUAUUUAUAAUUGAUGAUACGAUUUCAUUGUUAAAUCCAUCCUGAAAAUGAAAUGCGUAAUAGAUUUUUUUUUGUUAGAAUAUUCAACAGUUGAGAUAAGUGUCGGAUUGUCUACUAUUAUUAAAAAUAUUUUAAAAAAUUAGAUAUAAGUUUACCUUGUUAAAUUCUUCAAGAAGAAAAGAAAGUUUGUAUUCUAUUAUUUUUUCAGUCUUUUGAUCAAAUAUAACAAACCAAACACUACUGGUUGCAUCACUUGCCAAGAAUUUUAACAUAUACCUGUAUAAAUACACAUAUUCUAAAAGUUAUGUUUAUGUAGACAUUGUAGCAAUUAAAAUGAUAAAAAUGUUAACAUCUACGACAUACCUCAAUUUAGGAUACUCCACAUUUUGAUUGCAAGCAUUACACAGUUUAGGAUACUCCAUAUUUUUCUUACAAUAUAGGGUUUUGGAUGUCGACUACUGACAACAUUUGAGCAAACUCCUUGGAUAUCGACUACUGACAGCAUUGAUAGUGGUAGCUAAUAUUUUGAAUGUAGAUAGAAUUUACUUUUAGACUUCUUGAUUAUGGGAGUAAGUAAUUGAUGUAUUCUGCAAAGCACUUUCAUGGCGAUAUUUAUAAAGCAUAGACUAUAAGUGUAUAUAAUCAAUAUUUGCCGGAAGUUCAUGUUAUUCAAGUGAUCAAGUGCUUGGCAUCUCUUCUAUUUAAACUAUGUUGGUAAGACAUAAGGCUGGAUAUUUUUUUAAAAACCUUAUGAAACCAUUCUCAAGUGGAUUAAUUAAGUAAACGGCCAGAGUUUUUUAAUUAACUAAUGAAUUUGUAGAUAUAUCUAAUAGAGAUAUUUAUGUCUCUUGUAUUUAUGUCGCGUUACUUUCCAGUACCUUUUGUUUUUGAUUGUUUUUCGUAAAGGCAAAUUAACAAACAUCUUAGCAUAUGAUCACAAAAAUCAAUUAACAAACAUGUUAGCAAGAAUCUUACAAAAAUAAUGAUGAAAGUACUUGUUUAAAUCCUAUGUCUUCAUACAAAACAAACAGAAAAUAAAACAAAAAAAUAAAAUUCAAGAUAUGGUACUAAACUCUUGCAAUUAAAGAUCAAUAUGCCUUUUUAAAAAAUAAAUAUAUUGAAAGAAAAUGUACCUGACAAUCAAGAAGAGUAAAACCCAAAAUCGAUACGUUAAUGUGCCAACCGCUUGCACUGAAAAUACCUAACCAUGAAUUUGAUGUUUGAAAUCAAUGUAUUAGAGGCUAUAUGUAGUGUAGGCAUAAGAAAUAAUAAUUGAUAAGGAUAUAAAGAGAUAUUAAUAAGAACAUUAAAAGUAUGUUUAUCUUGAUUUAAGUUGUUUAAAGUACAUAACUUUGGGUAUGAAAUAAAAAUCCUAUAAUAUUAAGAAUUCUUAUAGGAAAUAAAACCACAAUCGUUCAAAUAACUUUUUUUUUUUGAAGAAAAUAUGAUUUAUUAAUUAAAAUUAGUUACUUUUCUACUUCUUGUAGUGAUAGCAAUUCUUAUUUAUUUUGGUUUCUUAUGUAGUACAAAAAUUAUUGGCAUGAAUUUGGAGAUUUAUCUAAUAGAGAUAUUUAUGUCUCUUUUAUUUAUAUCGCAUUACUUUCCAGUUCCUUUUUUGGAUAGGAAAUAAGAAUAAUACAAUAUUAAGAAUUCUUAUAAGAAAUAAGAAUUGAUAUAAAUCCAAACAAAAAAGGAGCAAGUCACGUAGGAAAGAGAAAACAUGAAAGGAUAAGAAUGAAGAUACGACUUUAUUAUAUAUAUAUAUAUAUAUAUAUGAUUUGGAUGUUUGAGAUUGAAAUUUGGGCACAAAUUUCAACAAAUAAUAUAAUGUUAUUGUAUUUUACAUGUUAUGUUAGUGUUUAAAUUAGCUACAUUAGUGUGUACAAUUUUUACAUCAGCGUCGACAUUGUGAUAAUUAUGGAAGCAUCGAAUCUUCCCCUCUUUUUUUUUUAAUUUCUAACAUUGCCAGUGUCAAAUCACAUGAGCGCUCACUAUUAAGGAAUACUAAUUUUAUCUUUAGGGAUUAUUAGCUGUACUUUUAGGUAAUUAAUUUUUUGCUUUUUGGUAUUGGUAUUUUUAACUUUCAUUACUACUCUGAAAUAUGAGAAGAACCCAUUUUGAUUGCUAUUUUCUAGAGAUUUUAUAUAUAUAUAAAAAAGAAUGUGCUAUAAUUAUUUAAUAUAUGUGAGAUAAAAAAAUAAUAGAAAAAUGAGUUCACAGAGAAAACGUAACAAGUUUAGCCAAUAUGACAAUAACCAUAACAUUAUUUUUUUUUUCGUUUGUUGGAAAAAAAAAUUACAUAAAUAUUUUUUUUUACCCUAAAAAAAAAAAAGUCUGCUUCUCUAAUCGAGUAACAAGUUGUCUAGCGUCUACCUCCUAACUACGCCCCAGGCUUAUUUUAGUCCACUAAUAAAUGGGCUAAAACUGUUGGCCCUACAUAAAUUAUCGUUGGGCUUGAUGCUUACAUCAAAUGGAAGGUCAAAUGACUAAAAUGGCCUUAGAUAAUUCCGUUGUUUUUGCUCAAGUCCUCCAACAAGGAUGCAAAACGAAAUUCAAACGCUGAGUUUGAAUUAAAGAUAUUAUUCGUAAUAGAAAGAGAGUAAUUUAUUCAUCAUGUUUAGGACUAAGGAGCGACCAAAACACAAAUUAAUAUGAGACAUUUACUCGAGUUUGAAUUAAAGGUAUUGGCUUGGACUAUCUUCCUUCGAUUAAGAUCACAAAGAUGUCUUAUGAUUUUUUUUUUUUUUCUAAAAUGAGCUAAAAAGGUAUAUUAACCGUCUUUAAUUUGAGCAGUUUAAUAACUCUAGAGAUGGAUGGACAAUGGGGUUCCAAUAUAUAGCAUUUCACUCUUGUAGAGUCCAACUCAAAUCCUUUUUGCAGCUUAAAGUAUUGCUUUUGGAGCAACCUCCUUGUUUUCAAUCCUUUUGGUUUUGAACAAACAGUUGCAAUUUAGGCCCGUUUGGUAACUGAGUUUUUUGAGUAUUUGUUUCAAACUUUAUUAUAAGUCACUGUAGAAAAACUUUUGUAAGAUGAAAAACUUUUUUCCUUUUCAUUUUUUUUUCUCUCUUUUUCUUUUUUCUUUUUUUUUUUCUUUUCUUUCCUCCCUUCCCGAUUCUUCUCCCUUCUCCUUCCCCCUCCCCCUUCCCUCCUAUUCCCUCUCCCGAAACUGCCAGAUGAAGCAACAAAAGAAAACUUUUUUUUUUUUGCUUUUUCUCUCUCCCUCUCUCCUGCUCACCACCUCUCCCUCUCCCUCCCCUGCCACCCCUCUUCUCCCUCUCCCCCUCCUCCCCCUCUCCCCUUCCCUCGCCACCAACUCUCCAUCCCUCAUGCCAGAUGAAGCAGCAACAGAAACUUUUUUUUUUUUUUUUUUUGCAAUUUUCUCUCUCCCUCUCCUCUCCUUCCCUUGCAGGACAAAGCAACAACAGAAACUUUUUUUUUUUUUGGCAAUUUUCCCUCUCCCUCGCUGGCCGAUCUGGUCGCUGGGAGGAGUGGAGAAGAGGGAGAGAAGAGGGAGAAAGAAAAAAAGGGGAGCCAAAUCGGGUAAAGAGGGAGCAUGGCGGGGAGGAAGAGGGGGAGAGGGAGAAAGGAAAGAAAAGAAAAAAAGACCGGCACCGGAAGAGGUCAUCGACGUGGGAACUAGCGGCGGAGGUGGUGGGGGGUUGGGGUAGGGAAGGAAGAAAAAGAAAAGGGGAAGGGAGUUUUUUUUUUUUUCUGUAUUUUGAGUAUUUUGAAGUGUAUAGGUAAAAAAUUUUAAGAAGAUUUUUUAGGUUACUAUAACUAAAAGUUGGUAAAAAAACUAGUAGGAGACAAACUUGGGUAAAAACCCAAAUGCCAAACGGGCCCUUAGUAUUAAUAAGCUUUUUUAACGGUGCUUUUCUCAGGGUUCUAGAUUAUGGUUUAUGGAUGACCCUCGAGUUUCUAUACCUUUGGACAUGAUCGAUCAACUAUUUCAGGUAGCCUUCUGGCAAUCUAAGGAUAAUUUGUGGGGAAAAAGGAGGUAUGAAAUCUAGGAAAAUUCUAUGGUCCUAGGCACAUAAAGCAGUUGAGAUGAUGUAAAAGAAGCUGAUCCAUCAAUUCUCUAAAAUAGGUUUUUACUCAUUUUGUUUCAACAAAUUGUAGGGAAAUUGAACCAUUGAUAAAUCCUUUCCAUUCCGUCACUCAAGGCAUAUACUGGUGGCAUUCUCCACUUUCUUGCUAUUUUGUUUUGAUAGAAAGACACCUGCUUCUAAUUACUUCAAUCUAUUCAAAUUCUUGUAAAACACUAAUUGAAUAUAGCCAGGGAUUUGAAUGUUUCUCUGAUUACUUUCUCAAUUUGAUUUUUUUUUUCGUUAAUUUUAUUAGGAGAAGUGGAAAUCAUGUCAAGUCAUAGCUUAGCUAAGUUUGCAACCAAACUUGUCAAGAACGUUAGGUGGAAGUUGAACUUCCCCGGGUGGUUCAAUAAGCUUGCACAGUAUGACCUAUUGGGUUGAAAAAUGGACCAAACCAUUCGAUAUUCGAACUGAGUUAGAUUUGGCUCGUCAAAAUAGUUAACUAAGUUUGAAUAAUGUUUUUUGUUCAAUAACUUUUAAAUUUGACUUUAAAAAACUCGUUUAAAUUCGGUUCAGCCAAAAAAAAAGAAAAGCUAAAUUUGACCAAAAUUUUAAAUUCGUUAAAAUAAUCAAACAAACUUGAACACUAAGGUUUUUGACUUGAUUAGAUUCGUUUAUAUCCUUAAUGAUUUAGAGGACAGUUGCCUAGUUUAGUUGUUUCUUGUAGGAGUAUAAUUGAGUUGAAUCGACUUUGAGUUAAAAAAUUUGGGGUUAAACUCUUAAAAGUUGAGCUCAAAUUCAAACUUGAUUUUGUAUUGCCUUAUUUGAAGUCGAGCUCAUCGGAUUCGAAUUCGAGCAAAUCAAACCCAAUUGAACUUAGUUUGAGUUUAAUUGAACUUAAUCAAGUCUAAUCAAGUUUAAUUAAUAUAAAUUUAUGCUUUAUAUCAUUUUAAACAAGGGAAAAAUAUAGGUAUUUGAUACAAAUAAAUAAAAAAUUUUAAAAAUCAUAUAUGCAUGAAGCUCGAUUAAACUCGAUGAGUUUUCGAAUUUUACAUAUUGAACUCGAGUUUGAACUCGUUAGAUAGCUCGACUUGCUCGAAUUCAAACUCGAAAUCGAUCAAUACGAGUUAGAGUUCAAAUCUUGACCACGCAAACUCGCGAACCAUUUGAUUAAACUCUACUUAUUUACACCCCUAGACUCUAUUAUAAUAUCAAGCUAUCACUAAUGAAAGUUUGCCGUUUUGUCAAGAAAAGAAUAGGGGGAGGGAUUUCACCAUUCCACUUAACAUUGUGUAUAACCUCUCUCGCAAACUGGCCUAAAAUGGUGUGUAACUUCAUUGAAAAUAUAACGUAUCUUAAUUGCUUGUAAAUUGGAUGUUCUUGAUAAUGGAGGUCAUAGCUUUUAGAAAAAUUGGGUUGUGGCGGAUUUGGAGAAAACAUUUUUUCUAUGUGACUAGAUUUUUUGUUUGUUACUCUCAAAAAACAAAGAAAGAAAUAGACUAUAUUUUCUUUGAUAAAGGCAACUUUAGUGUGCAAGCAUAACCAAAUAUAACUCUUAUAAUAACGAAGGGAAUAUAGCAACUAGUUUCUAUUAACAAUCUUAGUGAACUACAAUGUCAAUUAUUGACUAAUAGGUGAUUAUUUCUUUCUUCACUUUUUCCUUUUUUUUUUUUGGAAAAAUCGUCUAAAACGUCCCUCACAUUUUGUAAAAUAACUUUUUUCGUCCCUCACUUUUAAAAGUGUAAUUUUAUGUCCCUUACAUAUUCACAUCGGUCAAAUUUAGUCUCUAACUAGGUUUCCGAUCAUUUUUUGGCCUGAAUCCAUCAUGUGCAAGCCACGUGAUCAUUUUUGAAGGGUAAAUUUGUUAAAUUAUAUUUUACAUAAUCUGAUCUAUAGUCCUCCACAUUUUAUAAAAUAAAUUUUUUCGUCCCUCACAUUUUGUAAAAUGAUUUUUUUCAUCUCUCACAUUUCACAAAAUGAAUUUCGUCAUCCCUCACAUUUCAAAAAAUGAAUUUUUCAUUUCUCACUAAUUAUGUGUGUGAAUACGUUUUUUUUAAAUACAUGUAUAUGUCUAUUUGAUUUUGUUUAAUAAUAAUAACAUAAACACAUGUAUGUAAUUGAGCCCAACUUGUGGGCUAUCUUCUCUUUUUGUAUGAUUAUGACUAAUAUUUACCAAUAGAACAUUAAUUUGCAUAUUCUUAUUGUAUUUUGACCGAAAAUAGCUUUAUUGGCCAAUUUAACAAUGAAUGCAAGAUUUUUUACUAGCUAAUACCAGAUGAAAUCAAAUGAUCAUGUAUAAUAUAUGGUAUUCGUAUUGUUAAGUGAAAUCAAAUAGACACAUACAUAUAUUUAUGCUAUUCGAAUUAUUAAGCAAAAUCAAAUAGACAUAUACAUGUGUUUAAACAAAAUGUAUUCACACAUAUAUAUAUAUAUAUAUUUUUUUAGGGUUUCCCUCACACACAUAAUUAGUGAGGGAUGAAAAUAUUCAUUUUUUGAAAUGUGAGGGAUGGAGAAAUUCAUUUUGUGAAGUGUGAGGGAUGAAAAAAUCAUUUUAUAAAAUAUGAGGGACGAAAAAAUUUGUUUUAUAAAAUGUGGAGGACUAUAGAUUAGAUUAUGUAAAAUAUAAUUUGACAAAUUUACCCUUAAAAAAUGAUCAUGUGCCUUGUACGUGAUGGAUUCAGACCAAAAAAUGAUCGGAAACCUAGUUAUGGACUAAAUUUAAUCGAUGUGAAUAUGUAAGGGAUAUAAAAUUACAUUUUUAAAAGUGAGGACGAAAAAAGUUAUUUUACAAAAUGUGAGGGACGUUUUGGAAGAUUUUUUUUUUUUUUUUUUUUUUGACAAGGACUAACAUGUGAGCUUGGAAUUACUCCAUUGGUAAUCUAAAACUAUUUCAAAUAUUGUCUUUUUUUUUGGGGGGGUUAGUAAACCAACUAACCAUAGAAUUAACAGACCAAAUCUAAAAUCUUCUCCAUUUAAGAAUAAAACAAGCUUCAGCCUUUCCCACCACCUUUGUUGUUGAUAGUGCCCUAAUUAACAAAAAAAAUUUUGAUAGUGCGCUAAUUAACAAUCUUCUCAUCAAUCAAUUAUGACAAGACUAUGAUUGACUAGCUUAAUUGAUAGGUAUGCAAGGCAAAAAUGGAUAUAAUUGACUAGCUCAAAAUAUCAAAUUAACCACAAAUCCAGGUGUCCAUUAACAACAAAUCAUUCCAUGUUUUGUUGGGAUGCAUUCCAUGCCUAAAUUGAAAACCUUUUGUUAUGAAAUAGUGCUUUCUUUUGAAUAAAAUUAAUUAGUUUCCCUAACUUAGAAGUUAAAACAAAAUAGAAAGCAUAACAAAUUUCUCAAAUCCUUUUUAUUUUUUAUUCUUUUUUAUACGUUUUUAGUGGACUACCUUGUUUAAAUGGCUUAAAUAUUGCCACACAUUUUCUUACCCAAAAAAUGUAAAAUAAAACAAAACACAUAUUUUCUUUCCUUUUCCUUAAUCUCUAAAAUUAAUUUCCUCAAUAUCUUCAAGAAUGGCAAUUUUCCCAAAUUUGAAGAACUCAUAUUGACCUCCUCAAAAACGCAUAAACCCUUUUGUCACCUCUAUUUUCUCCCUCAGAGAAAACUGAGAAGAGGGACUAAAAAGAUUUCACCCCAAAACCUCCUAUAAAAGAUUAUUACUGUUACAGCUGCCUUUGCUACUCUAGGAUCUUAAGCCCUCAGACAACAGUCCAUUUUCCUCUUUUGUUUUCCCCCAUUUUUUUCCACUUUUGUUUGUUCCCCAUCGCAUGUAGCUUCCCAUACAUUGCAGAUUCUUGAAGAUAUCCCUAGCUUUUUCUCCAUAUAUUCAGGUGAUUUUUUUUUUAAAUUUAUUCAUUCAUUUCACUGCUUCAAAGUAUUCACCUAUUUUUUUUCCUGUUUUGUUUACUCAACUGCACCUGGGUAUUCUAUUCAGUCAAAAACUUCAGCUGGGCUUCUCUAGAAAAGCUUAAUCUUUAAUGGGUUCUUUUAACUUUUUGCCAUAUUUCCUCUUAUUAAGUAUUUUAUUAAUUUUUUAAAUUGGCCCCUUUUUCUGCUCAUGUUGUCCGAAGAUUUUACUAUGUGAUGUUAUUAGCCAAGUAUUGUUUUCUGUUGCAUUUAGUUGUAUGCUUGAGUUUAUAGCUGGUUUGGUUUGGCAUGUUUUUGGAUCAUUUUUCUUGACUUGGAUUAGGUGUCUUUUUUUUUUAUUGUGAAAUUUUUUUGGUGCUUUGUAUACGUGUUCGUGAUUUUCUUGGAUUAAUUAUAGGAAAUAAUGGGGAAAAAGGCUAAAAAGAAGCCCAGAAGUGGUCAAAAGGAUAAGCGGGUCUCGGCUGCCUCUGCAAAAACUAAUUCUCAGCAGCAGAACACUAUUGCUAAUGCUGAUAAAGCCACUGAUGACGGAACUACUGUAGUUUUAAAGGAUAAAAGAGUAUGCUCACAUCUUGAUAAGGGUGUGAAUUUAGAGAAGCUUUCUGCUAAAUUUGGGUCUUCAGAGUCAUUUAAGUGUGAAGAUUGUAGGGAUGGUGGGGAUGGUAGACGUGGGGGUAAGGGGAAAGGUAAGCAAGGAAAGAAAAAGGGGGGUGCAGAGUCGAGAACAGAGUCUAAGGCCAUUUGGGUAUGCUUGGAGUGUGGCCAUUUUUCGUGUGGAGGUGUUGGAUUGCCAACAACUCCUCAAACCCAUGCCAUUAGACAUGCUAAACAGAACCAUCAUUCAUUAGUCAUCCAACUUGAAAAUCCUCAACUUCGUUGGUGUUUCUGUUGCAAUAUUUUAAUUGUUGCUGAAAAAUCAGAAGAUGGUGUUGAAGAAAAAGAUGUAUUACAUGAAGUUGUUCAGAUGAUGAAAAUACGGCGGUCUGAUGGUGCUGCUUUGGAUUCAGAAGAUGUUUGGUUUGGAAGUGGCAGUGUAACAAGUACUAUAACGUCAGAAAAGUCUGCAGUAGUUGGUUCAGGUGGUAGGGAUAGUUAUGUAGUUAGAGGGUUGAUUAAUUUAGGGAACACCUGUUUCUUUAAUUCUGUCAUACAGAAUUUAUUAGCACUGGAUAGGGUACGAGGUCAUUUUUGCAAACUGGAUGGCUGUUUUGGACCCCUUACUGCUGCUUUCAAGAAGCUUGUUUCCGAGACCAACCCAGAGUCUGGCUUGAGAAAUGUUAUAAAUCCUAGAUCGUUCUUUGGUUGUGUUUGUGCAAAGGCGCCUCAAUUUAGAGGAUACCAACAGCAAGACAGUCAUGAAUUGCUUCGGUGCUUGCUUGAUGCUUUGUCUACUGAAGAACUGAGUGCAAAAAACAGAACAAAUCUUCCCAGGAAGCUGGCAAUUCAGAUCCUACCUUCGUCGAUGCCAUCUUUGGUGGUCAACUCUCGAGCACAGUUACCUGCUUGGAAUGCGGAUACUCUUCGUUGGUCUAUGAGCCCUAUUUGGAUCUCUCACUACCAGUUCCAACAAAAAAGCCCCCUUCCAAAAAGGUCCAGCAAGUGAAUCGAGCCAAAAAACCUAAACCACCCCCGAGGAGAAAUGCAAGGAUCCGUCCUAAAAUGGUCAGAGAUACAAAUGAUUUACCAUCUACAAGUACAUCUGCUGCUUAUGUUGAUGGAAAGUCUUCUAGCACACCACAAUCUAGUGUACAUAUUCCUGAACAAAAUGUGGUUUCUUCUGGUGGUUCUGCUACUGAUGUAAGUGUUAUGGCUGAUACCAAGAGCAUAACUGCAGACUGUCUGUCAUCUGAUCAACGUGCUCAGUCCAACAAAGCUGUUGAAAGUAUUGUUGAGAAACCAAUUCCAGCAGAUGAUUUCACCUGGUUGGACUUUCUUGAGGCAGAUACAGUUUCAAACAAUGAUAACAUGACUUCUCAAAUGGAUGACCUUUCAAUCAAUCAUGGUUCUGCAGAUGAAAAUACUGUACAAAAUGAAGUAUUGCAAAAUUCUUUGGAUUCAUGUGGUGAUAAUAUUUCAACAUUUACAGAUACAGCAUGUUGCUCUCAUGAUGAGAUGCAGUUAGUUCACCACGGGAAAGAGAAGUUAUUGAGUGCACAAGAUAUGGCCUCACAAUUUGAUGAGAAAGUAGUCCUUGACAGUUCUGGAUGUGCUGAUACUAUGCAUAGCGAGGCUUAUUGGGAGAAUAGCUCAGAACUCAGCUCUUUGACUUGUUUUAGAGAUUUAAAUCUUGGAGUUGAUUCCUUGGGGAAAUUUUCAGAAGAGGAAACUCCAUUGCUUGUUCAAGAGUCUGAAGUUCUUCUGCUUCCAUAUAAAGAAGAUACCUGUGACAUAGUGAAGACAGAUGGUGAUUUCUUCUCAUCAGCUAUAGGUUGUGAACAAGAUUCAAUGGAAUUUGAUGGUUUUGGUGACUUGUUUAAUGAGCCUGAAGCUACAGGCCCUAGUAUGAAUCCCUCAUCCAUGUAUAAUGCUUCUGAGACAAAUGAAGUUUUACAUGCUGGUUUUGGGGAAACAGCAGUGAGUCUGACCCAGAUGAAGUUGACAACACUGAUGCUCCAGUUUCUGUUCAGAGUUGUUUAUCUUAUUUCACAAAACCAGAGCUUCUUUCAAAAAAUGAACAUGCUUGGCAAUGUGAAAAUUGUGCAAAGGUUUUGCAAGAACAAAAAAUUAGAUCAAGAAAGAAACUUCUGAACCCGUGGUCUAAAGAAAUGACAGAAUUGGGCAAAGCUACACGUGCUUCUGGUCUGUCACAUUUACAGGAUAGCAGCCCUUUUUCCUCUGAGGUGAGACAUCUAUGUAAUGGCUAUCUGAAAAAUGAGACAGUUGACCCAUCUGAUGACAGCUUUCUGUCACACAGUACAAAGACUGAUGUUAAGCAGAAUGUCAUGCCCAAAAAUGGUGAGAAUGCUGAAGUGAAUUCAGUAGAUUCCAGCAUGGAAGGUGAAAAAUGUGACGUAGUCCUCGCAAAUGUUUGUCUGCCAGGAACUUCUGAUGGGGAUAUGACAUUCUGUAAAUUGGAUGACAACUGCAAAAGACAUGAUGGUUCCCAUGUCAGAUGCACUGAUGGUAAAGUUCAAAAGGACGAAUUUUGUACAGGAACUGGUAAAUGUGAAACAGAAGAGACUAAGGAUGAUGAGAAGAAUGCAGAAAAAGUCGAGAGGGAUGCUACUAAGAGAAUCCUAAUUAAUAGCGCACCACCUAUCCUAACAAUCCAUCUGAAAAGGUUCAGUCAAGAUGCUCGAGGGCGCUUGAGUAAACUGAAUGGCUAUGUGCAAUUCGACCGUACAAUAGAUUUAAAGUCAUACAUGGAUCCAAGGUGCAAUUCAAUACUCAAAUUUGUUGCUAAAGAAAUCAUUAUUCAUUCAUCUUUCAUUUUCUUUUACUCUGGUGUGGCUGGUGACAUGUUCUUUUGACUUUUUAAUUGCAUUAUUCUCUAUCUCCUAACAGAAGACAAUUAAUUGUUUUAGUUAAAGAAGUUCCACAACACUUAUGCGGUCUCUCAGUUUUUGGGCUUUACAAAUCUGUUUGGGAAUUUUUAUUAGGAUAUUAGUUUCAGUGAUUAAUGAUUUGUAGGGUGGAUGGAUUAGCUGAAAUUUCAAAAAUAGUGAAGUUGGGAACUCAGUUUGGUCCCUGGAAAAGCAUGAGACAUUAUAUUUUUGAAACUGCAUGAUAUAAAAGCAUCAAUGGAGCAUGACAAAAACUUAAGAAAUAGCUCUUGAAUCUAUGCUAAACUUAGGAGGAUACAAUCUUUGAAUAUUUACAUGAGGUAGAAGGAUGAUGCAGACCCUCAGAGAGGAUAAUCUAGCAGCAGAUAGGUAUUUGAUAGGCCUGUCCAGAGUGAAAUAACAAUAGGGAAAUUCUAAUUCGAUAGUUUUGACUUCAAUAUAAAGUGUAAAACUGGCCUGUUGAAAGAGGCUUGUGAAGGUUCUGUACUUUUGUUCAAUGGAUAAUGAAUGGAAGUUCUUCUCCAGUGUUCCCCAACAAAAUUGCCUUAAUUGGUCAUCUUGACACAGAAUGGAAAGAAAAGUUAAAAUUAAUGUCAGAAUCUAUUUCUUUGUUGUUAUUGCUGGUGGUCUGGGAGAGAGGAAGAAGUAGCGUUGAGGAUUGUUGUGUAGGAAAGCAAUUAGUGUGGUGAGUGGGGUAUUCUAUCAGAUUUAGGGAGCUGGUAUGCUUACUUCUGCGCCAUUGUUGGUUAUAUGCUUGUUUGGGGUUUUGCUAGGAGAAAUGGCAGCAUUGAAGUUGCGAAAACUGCUGUAGUAGGGUGGAAGAAGUGGCAAGAGUACAUGCUUGGGGGUUAGUAGGGGUAGGAUUCGUGGAGAAGAAAGUAGGUGGGGGGGGGUGGGAGUUUCUUUAUUUGGAUGUGGGAUUUGGAAUAAGAAAGGAAAAAAGGAGCAAAAUGGUGAUUGGUUUUAUACCUUUUGCCUUUCUUUAAAUGAAUGAAUCUCCUCAAUGAUAACUGAAGAUGGACCUAACAGUGAAAAUUGAGAGAAGGCUGGAAGCUUUUUUUUUUGGGAGUUCAAUGGGUGAUUUGAAAUCCUCAUAGUUUAGUUGCAAAAGUAUGUUGCGCCAACAGUUUAGUGACCAUUUAAGUGUUUACCCUUUUUUUCUUUUAAUAUGCAUCUGUUUCCCUCUUUGUUCGCAUGUUGACUAUAACUCGGAGGAUAUGUAUAGGUUCCUGCUUUGGUUAUUCAGGGAAGCCAAAAGAAGCAUUGUUGUACUUGCAUCCAUAUAUCGUAACUGUAUGAUCCAUCUCUGGUUAAUGAAUUUUCUUUCUUGGAGGAUCCAGAGCAGAAAAUUUGUGCUUAGGUGCCUUUUGGUUUAUGGAAAGUGAGACUUUACCAAAGCUAAGACUGUUGAGAAUUGAGAUUGCCUUGUAAGGGUACAUUGGAUCUGUGAGUAAUAUUAAGGUCAUCUUUGCAUAAAGAGAUGUGAUACACAAAAUACAUGCUUGGUUGUCACAGUUUUUCUUUGAUGAAGCUAAUUAUGCCUUUAGGUGCUUGUGUCCAUUUUUCUCUGCCAUUUUCUGCCGUCUUUUCCCCAAAAUAUUUGCUCCUCAGCUGAUAACCCCAGCUAAUUAUAUCACCUGAAUCUGUUAUCAUUCUGUUUUAUUUAGCUUCCUUUCCAUUUUCAAUAAAGAUGCAGGAGAUAUUUCUAGGCAUAGCUCAUAAUCAAUCAGCAGUUGCGCUUUGGAUGCAGCACAAAUGGUUUUAUGGUAUCCAGAGUUGAAAGAUAUUUGGUUUCUUUCUUAUAGAGAUUGUGAAGUAGGUUGAUUAUGAGCUGCAUUUUAUGGUUUUAGAACCCUUUUUUCUCAGAUAUAUUAGGAAAGAGUUGCUCUGGGAUGAUUGACUGAGAUCAUAACAGAUACCAGGCAUCAUUUUUGGAAACUGUAAAACCUAGGAAAAAUGCUGAUUAGGUAUGGGUUGACCACAAGGAAAAAGGUGGAGUCCUCGAUUUAUCUUUCAUCAGUUUAUUUGUCUGAUUAUUAGUCAGUGCAUGUGCAACCACACAUAUGCAUCCUUAGAGUUGUACUCAAUAAACUUUAUGUAAGAAAGAAGUGAAGAACACAGCUGCCAGUUGACUAACAGUAGUAGUUAUUGAAAAUUGCCAGCAUUAGGACUUGGUUUAAGCUUUACUAGUCAAGGUGGAAACUAGGAAUGUUAUAGAGUGUAAAGAUGUCUCACUAACAGCUGUUACUCUUGGACUUCAGUGGAUGAAGGUGAACAUCAGGACUCUGUAGCAAAUAAAUCAAAACUGGUUUUUUUAUGUGAUAUCAAGCUAUUGACAUCAAAUGUAUGGCAGACCAUGAUUGUAUGGCUUAGAGAAUCUAUGGAUCAUUUUGGGUUAAAUAACCUAUGCUUUGUUUGAAACUUGGCAUGGCCACCUCAACUAUGUAGAAUAGUUAGCUAUGGUUAUAAUAAUUGGCUUCAUGUGAUACUUGGCAACCAUUAAAGUGCCGAGCUAGCCAAGAAGAAGUGGAAUUCUGGCUAAGACCUUGUAGACCUCUCUUUUGGAUUUUCUGUUUCUUUUCCUCCAUUGUCUUCCUUUCCUUUCCUUCCCAUACUUGGUUAAUCCUUGUACAUUUAGCUUCUAAUUUUGUGUUUAGAUAAUAAAUUUUCCCCUGCUUCAAGGACACUUCUAGUGUCUAGAUGUUUACAAAAAAGAGUUGAUUAAGCUAUAAAAUGUCAGUAACUAAUCAAGUCAUUUAGGAACCAGCUACUAUUUCUUUUCAAAUGGGGUCCAUCCCUUUGUGCAAUGAACAGAACAUGUCCUCAAGAUAACUAAUUUUUUUAAUUUACUCUUAUCUUCUUUUUUUUUAACUCAUAUUAUAUAUUCGAUUGAGCCAAGGGAUAUAACCAGUGGUGAUUGUAGCGUCUAGAAUUGGACCCCAAGCAAGCCUGUGGUUUGGAGCUUAUCCCCUCCAACCCAUUGUAUAAAAAAAAAGGAAAAUAAAGAAAAAAAGGAGUUAUGAAUGUGGUUAUUGACAGAGAUAUUUGCAUCUUCAUAAAUUAAAGCUUAGGGCCUGCCAAAUCCUGACUAUUGGAACUUCAUUCUGUCGUACUGUUCAUUGCAAGUAGUACUCAUAAAUUGUACUAGUAUUUCCAUCGUAGAUGUUAAUCUUCCAUCUACCUUUGCAUUGUUUGUGUCUUGCAACAAAACGCUAAUCCAAUUCAAUUACCAGUGGAGUUAUUGUAAUUGUCGCACGACAUGCUAUCAGCAGAAGCAAUUCAACUGCAUGUUUACUGCUUAUAUAAUGAUCCGAUGCUGUAAAGACAGAAUGCAUGUAACUUGGUUGUGCUUAUCGAAAAAUUCAACAGCUUAGGUCUUACAGAUGGAUAAUUUUAGCUCCACUGAAAUGUCUUGUUUUAUGUCUAGGACAAUCCUUGAAAUAUUCUAUGUGCUUCAUUUUUUGUUGUUGUGUUUUGAGUCUUUGUUGCUGUUUUUCAAUUCUUAGUGAAAUAUGCUAGAGGGGCAAUUACUAGGGGACUGUACUUGUGUUGUCACUUUGUGUCAAAUUGAAGACCUUUGCUAUGCCAUAAAGUAUAGCACACAAAAUUGGAUCUAGGUGUAUCUUCUCAUAAAUCAAAUGCUUUACUUUCCGUCGAUAAGAUAACACGUAAAACACCACACCUCAUGUAAUUUUAAAAGUGUGGACAUCUCAAAAGGCACCAAAAUUAGAGGCACGCCAGAGUUAUAACUGCAAGACUUUGAAUUCUUUCCUCUGUUUCGGUCUUCAUUCAACCAAGAGAUUCAACUGCUGAACAAAAAUUGCUGAACUUGGGGGCAAAACUUUUUCAUGAAUGUCAAAUUAGACUUGCACGUUGUCUUCUAACUCUUUUUGGAGUCGGGAGAAGUACAACUUUUGAAUUUUGAUUGAUAGUAGUAGUUUUAAAUCAUCCUGGCAAGGAACUUCGGGAAGUCAAUUUGUUGAUUUGGUUACAGAUGGAAAAGGAAUAAGUGCUUUCUGAUCUCUUUGAUUCUAGUUUGGAAGUAAAAGCAUCUACGUUACCUCAAUUACCACCUACUCAUCCUUCCCUUACUCUUAGUUUGGACGUCUAAUAUACUAUAUGCUGGAUGACUAAUCAGUGUAGAGCAUUUUAGCAUCUGGCAGAGCUAGUUGAUUAGCUGGUAUCAUCGCGUAAAUAGAGGAAUGUCACUAAUUGCAAGAACUUGUAAAUAAUAAUGCCCUCUUGGCAAAGAUCCAUCUUAUGUAAUUUUUAUUUACGAGAAUCUGUUGAUGCUACUGCCAUGCAACUCUCCAAUAAGAUAUUGUCAGAAAUGAAAGAUUGGAUUUCAUUAUUUCUCUGAUCUUGUUAUACCACAUCUGAUUAUAUCUGUGGUUGUCCAAUUUUAUGCUCGACUUUGAUUUUUCAUGCAUUUUUCACAUAUGCUUGAUUUUUAUGUCACAGCUACUAAUAUUUUUAUUGCUAUGGUCUUUCUGGUUAGAAAGCUCAGGACUUGAUUUCAUUUGGCAGAAUACACCGACAAAACAUCUUCUGACUGCUGCUUAAAUUUUUUUUUUUUUUUUGCCUACAGGUGCAUGGAGAGGGACAGAUACAAAUACAAUUUGGUGGGGUUGGUGGAACAUAUGGGAUCAAUGAGGGGAGGCCACUAUGUUGCAUAUGUGAGGGGAGGCAUGAAGAACACUGAAAGUCAGAAUGGAGAUUAUGUGUGGUAUCAUGCCAGUGAUGCUUACGUGCGUGAGGCUUCUCUGGAAGAAGUUCUUCACUCAGAGGCCUACAUUUUGUUCUAUGAAAGAGUUUGAAACAUUUUGCAUUUUUUUUGUUCAUUUCUUAUAAGAGUUUUGGUGCAACCAACGCACCAUAUGAGAGAGAGAGAGAGAGAGAGUCUAAACCACAAUUACACAAUAUCCAAUACAAUUCUUUUUUGAAGUGAAAUGAGUUUAAAAGAUGUACUAAUCAAGGGAAAACCAUGUGUUUUUUUCUUUUCUAUUGGCCCUGAUUUUGGAUCCAUAUUCGUUCUUGCCCCAAUUUGGGAAAUACAAAGCUUUAUUGAUCCUUUCGCCUUGUAUGACUUUGGUUGAGCUGAUUUUGCGUUGCACACAAUUCACCUUUAUGGUUGCCAAUCUGAUCUUUCUGUUCAGGCUGCAGACCCCAAAGACCUUAACUCUUUUUUCCCCUAUAUCUUUUGGUACCCAUUUUAUGUUAAAAAAGGACACAAUUUUCACUUCCCUGUGCCAAACGGCUGUAUCAGUUCGAGCUCUAGUCCUCAUGACAGAUCCCACUAUUCUGGGCUUACAGUGUGUUAUAUUGCAGACUAAUUUGAAAUCCAUUCCCUCCACCAAGCUGUUCUGUUCCCAAAUAUCAUAAAGACGUGGAAGUUUUAGGGGCCGCUUGGUUAAGGAGUUUUGGUAUUAGAAUUACAAUAAUUCCAAUAUUGCGCGCUUGGUCCAGUGCAAUGGAAAUUAAAAUAUUGGAAUCAUACUUUAAAAUUUGGUCAUUCAUGAUUUCCGACCAAACUGGGAGGAAUUAACCAAAACCCUCAUUAAUGGCUCUUUAUCCAUCAUUCCAUUUCUCUUUCCAAUUCCAAAGCAAGAACCAAGCGCCCCUUUAGUACCUUGAUCAAAUUCUGUUGUCAAAUUCAAUGGCCUUUUGGUUCAUAAAUAAAUUUCUCAUCUACCAAGUAAUGGUCAAACAUUAGACAGAGCACAACCCAAUGAAACAAAGAUUUAGUGUGAAAUAUAUAUAUAAUUAAUAAGUAUGGCAUAGAUAGCAUAUCGAUCUCUUCCCAAUUUGGCUUGAUAAGCAGAAAGUCAUGGAAUUCAUGUAAAAAAGCAACAAAAAAAGUCACUUGAGUUCCAAUUGAGCUUAACUUGAUAAAAUGUCAUUUUAACUCAAAGACAAUUUUAAAUUCUAUGAAUAAAUAACAAAUCAAAUUUGAAAGCUACAUUAUUUUCAGUUUAAUUGUGAUCCUUGAUACCCCUAGCUGUGCAAGAACGAGAUAUACUCAAUCUUGACCAGCAACAUUAGCUAAGCUAUUAAGUCAAGUUUAUUGCUUUAAAUUAAUUUUUUUUCGUCAAACAACAAUAGAGUUUGAAAUAUUAUUUGAAACAAGUGUAUUAUUUGAAAUAUUAUUUGGAAUAAUUACUGUAGCACUUUUUGUGAUGUGAUGUAUGUGAGAUAAAAAGGUGAUUGGAAAUAUAAAAAGGUGGGUUGGGAAAUGUGUUUAUGAUGUAAGCGAAUAUUAUUUGGGAUAAAAGCACUAUCCAAACAAACCAAAAUUAGAUUCUCUUAACUGUAAAUUGUUGUCCCAAUAAUUUUUUUUAAUGGAUUUUUUCUUAACCUUGAUAUCCCUAGAUUACUCUCAAUUUAUAAUGUUAAUGAACACAUCCACAUUUAUUAGGCCCCUGCAUUUCAACUUCAUUUGUAUAUAUUAAAAAAAAAAUUAACACCUUAGGUCUCUAGUUUGCACUCUUGAUCACCCUGGUUCCGUCAUUUGGAAAUUGUAUGCAUAUUUUCCUCCUUAUACCAAAAACCCUAGCAAGAUUGAGGAAAAUGGUUUAGGGAGUUGAACUGAAUUUCAUGAAUAUUCAUAGAGGUAGAGGAUUUCCAUUAUCUUAGUAUUUGUAGGGUAUAGUUACAAUACAAUAAACUCUAAUCAUAACAUAUCUUUUAAAAUUAGGGUUUUUCUAACGGGUGCCCUAUCCGCAUUCGUUAAAAUAUAUUUCAGGUAUCAUGUUUUUGAAAAUGAAAGAUUAAUUAGGAAAAGUACAUAAAUACGAGGAAAGGUAAGUAUGAUUAAUUAGGGAAAGUAUAUAAAUGCAAGAGAGGUAAUAAUUAUUGAUAUAUAUAUAUACAUGAUAGGUUAGGUGAAUGAUAAGUGUAUUAAUGAGCGCCGUAUGAGCAUCCGUUAGAAAAAUCCUUAAAAUUAUACGUACUAUUAGUUAUAAUUGGUUGGCUAAAGUCUUGACCGUUUUACAGAAGUUUUGCAUUAUUAUUAGUUAUUGGGUAGGACAAGAUACUUCUAUUCUGUUCUUAGUACACAAAUAGAAAGGGAAGGACCAACGAAAAUUAUUAAUAUUACCACCUUAAUUCCAAACCAUAUACAAUUUCUCCCAAAAAAAAUCCUAACAAAAAGUUUUAUUGUUACUAUUACUUUUUAUGCUUGACCAGUUUCACCACGGUGGAGGAGGGCAUACACCAUUGCGGAUAGGGGUGUAAUCGAGCCGAGUCGAGCUCGAGUAUUGCUAUACUCGAGCUCGACUCGACUCAUAUACACCAAAGCUCGAGCUCGACUCGAGCUCGAGCUCGCCCAAAAAAUCGAUACUCGAUACUCGACUCGAAAAAUUUCCUUUAGGCUCGAGGCUUGACUCGAUACUCGAGGCUCGAAAAUUUUUUUCAUUUUAGGUCUUUUUACAAUUAUGUUAUUACUUUUUUGCCAUUAUAGGAUUUUAUUAUAAAGAAGGAUAUAUUGUAAAUUUCACAUAACUUAUACCCAUAAUGGUCAUUUUAUAAUUAUAAUACAUAUAUAUUAUUUAAAUAACUCCGACUCGUCGAGCUACUCGACUCGACUCGAGCUGGGCUAUUUCGACUCGAAACUCGACUCGAUUUUCAUUCGAGCUACUCGAAACUCGGCUCGAACUCGGUCAACCCGAGUUCGAGCCGAGUCGUUGACCGAUCUACUCCGAGCUACUCGCGAGUAGCUCGGCUCGCGUACAUCCCUAAUUGCGGAUGGUGGCAAAGUUUGCUGAGCUGAUGCAAUCUCCAGACAAAGAGAUUGUAAUACUUUCACGGGUAUUUUCCCGUUUGAAGUUUGCUAAAAUUUAUUAUUGUGCUUGUCAAGACAAUCAAGUAAUUAACAACUAGUAAUUUCAAGUGCUAUGUUAAUGAUUUUGCUCCUUUUAUAUCUGGCAGGUGCUUACAGAUGAUGAUUUUGAAGAUAUGGAGGUAAUAUGCAUUUUCAUUCGAACCUUUUUUGGGAUAUUGGGAUUUAAACCAUAGUAAAAAAUAGUGAACUUGAAACUACUCAACAAACAUCACCACAUGGAAAUAAAGAAUGAGAAAAAACUAUAAAUACUAUAUAUAGUUGGGUUUUUUUUUUUUCACUCUCUCAUUUUGUUUUAGUUGGGCUUCAUUGGAUUAGAAUCCUCUCCAUUAGAUUUUUCUCCAUUUGGGUAUAUUUAUUUUAUUACAUUUUUUAAAAAAUCAUUUGAUAAUGUCAUUAUUAUUAUUAAUUUGAUGGUUAGAAUAACAUAUUAAAUAUUAAAAUUUACUUGGGAAUAUUUUGGCAUUCAAUUUACAUGAAAUAUUUGAACAGUCAAACAUAAGUCAUAUUCCUAAUACAAAAUUUGUAAUGAUUAAUCAAAUGGUAAAACUUGAUCAAUUUAAUAUGGAUCUUUGUAUAUAACUAACAUAAGUGAUGAAGUACAUUAUGAACUGUAUUGAUUUUUAAAACAACAUCCAAAUUCAUUCUAGUGUGGUGUAAUAGAGAGAAGUACUUUCCAUUUCAAUGGGAAAGAGCCUAGUCUGGGAUCUUUUGUUAACUCCAUACCUAGCAAACUUUUAUAAAAAAAAAAAAAAUUCUUUUAUAAGGUUUUCGAAGUAUACGAUGUCAGAGAAUGGUUGAAUUGGAUGAUAAGUGGGGAGAGAUUGUAAGUAGAGGUUUUGGGUUAAGAAAAAGCGAGUAUAAAAUGUCAAUUAAGAGAAACACAAUUCAAAACCUGUAAUAAAGCAACAAUUUUGUACCAAACUAUUUUUGCAUGAGAUACAAAAUUUAAGAUAUUUAAUAGAUUUUCCCUCUUUUUUUUUUUUUUUUUUUGCUAAAUUGUCAUUCUUUUAGGGACCAUUUUCCAAUGGUUCUAGAGACAGACACAAGAGAACACCUUGGAAUGGAGUCUCAAUGCACUCUCCAAAAACACAUUCACCCAUCUCAUUCAAACACAGAAUAGUAACUAAAACUUUUUCAACAAUUACUUUUGAUCGAUUGAAAUUUUAAAGAUUCACCUGAGUAACUAAAAACUAAGGAGUGAAAAUACCUAAAAAUUAAAAAUAAAGAAAUAGAAUAUCGCUAUAAAGUGGGAGAAAUGGUGGUCAAGAGUAAUUAGUAAUUUUCAAAGUCACAGCAUUUGUAAUUUCCGGAUUUUCCUAUAUGUGUUUAGCAGGUGCUUUCAGGAGAGAUAAAUGAUGCCUACGACAAGGAUGACUUCAAAGAUAUGGAUGUGAUUAGAAAAUGCAUAUAUAUAAUUUCAUUAAACCCAUUUUUAAAGUGACAAACACACCAAAGAACCUGAAUAUUUAGUUUGGAAGCCUGCUACUAAUUCUUCUUCGGCUUCUGGUAAAUCAAAAGGCAAUCUCUCACACUCGGCUAAAGAAGAAAUUAGAAAAAUGAUAAAUUCUAUAGGUUGACGCCAUAAAUUCCAUCCCCAAAAUCCAUAUUUUGACUGCGCUUCAACUAUGUCAACCGUACUUGAAUUGUUAGAUAAUCAUAGUCGUUGACUGAGAUAAUCUCAACUGUUCCCAUUACUAUUACGGAACCGUACAUGAGAUUUUCACCUCAUACAGUUCCUCAAAGAUCACAAAUAAAUCUAAAGGACAUUUCACUAUAUUAUUAUCUUGAUAUUUUGUAAGAUAGUUAUCAUGUAAGUUCAUGAAUUAGAUCGAUGGAAUUCUGUUUGCUAUAUUUGAUAUAUCAUCAAAGCAUUAUGUUACUUAAUGAAUCUACAUAGAAGCAUGGGAAUAACAGUGAUUAUUAAAUGAUAGAGUUUUACUAUUUUUGAUAUUAUUUAUGGAAAUAUCACAUUCCAAAGAUUGAGAGCUCUCCCAAAAGAACUGUUUUCUUGAUUAAAUAGAAAUACAUCUAUUACUUGAAUUAACAUAGAUUCUCAUGCAUUUUAUCAUUGAAUCCUAUUCUUUGUACAGGUUCUUUGUUUCAAUGGUGUUACAAUAAAGAAUUUAAAGAGCUUGGCCAAAAUGGUGGAAAACUGUGAGGAUGAAUUUUUGCAGUUUGCCUUGAACAUGGAAAGGUAUUUAUUUUUCUGCUCAUUUAAUCUAUGAAUCUUCUUCUUCUUCUUCUUGUUAUUUUUGCAGUUUGACCUAAAGUUGUACCUCAUUUGUGCAUUAAUUACAGAGAAUUGUUUUACGAGCACAAAAGGCAAAGCCAGCAAAUAAAGAAAUUUUGAAGAAGCAGUACUCCGUACAUUCAACAAUGUCAGGCGAUCUCUUGAAGGAAUUCAAGCAGCCCGGUACUCCUUAAAGAACUUUGUUUUCUCUUUAAGGUACAUUAACCCCGGCCUAUGUACGGGGGGAGAAAUGAGGUGUUGCAAGAAUCUAUAUACCCUGACAUCUGUUUUUGAGAGAAGAACAUAUUUUUUGUUAUCAAAAGCCCUAUACAUAUCUUUUAAUUAUCUUCUUAGGGAAUAUCAAUGGCAUCUUUUUUGUAUUUUUUUUUAAGUAUGAUUUGUCAAUGGAGUUGCAAUUUGGUCUUGUUUGGCACCCGAAUUUUUUUGUCAUAUUUUAAUAGAUAAGUUUUUUUUUUAUAACUUUGUCUGUAGUAACUCUCUAAAAAUGUCCAAAAAUUUUAAUAUACAAAUUUUAAAAUACCUAAAAACACACAAAAUUUUUUCUUUCUUUCCCUUUUUUUUUGCUUCCUCCUCCCCCAUCUCAAGUCUCAACCACCACUACUCACUGGCACUCUUAUGAAGCUAAUGCUCCAGCAUCCAUCCUCCUCCUCUCCUCCUCCUCCUCCUCCUCCCUUUCUCCCUUAUCCUCCUUCCCUUCCCUCUCUCCCUUCUCUCCCCCGCUCUUCCUCUUUCUCCUCUACUCCCCUCCCCUCCAGUUGCGAGAGGAGGAGAGGGAGAGAGGAGCAAAGAGAAAGAGAAAAAAAAAAGUUGAGAUGGUGGUAGCGGCCAGUGGCUAGCAGUGAGGAGGAGGAAGGAGAAAGAGCAGAAGAAGAACAAACGGAAAAAAAAAAAGAAAGAAUAAGAAAAAAAGGAAAAAAAUUCUUUUUGCCAAACCUUAUAUAUAAGUUUUUCUACAAGGGAAAAUACCGGUUUUCAUCCCCAAACUUUAGGGUAAGGACACAUUUCGUCCCUCAACUUUUGGGCAUGACACAUUUGAUGUCUGAAUUAAUAUUUUUUGACCAAUGUCAUCCUCAAACGGUAAUUUAGCCAAUUUUUAACGGAACUGAUCACGUGAAAAUCACAUGACCGUUUAAGUAAACUUAAAUCACAUUUUUAACAAAACCUGCCAGUUUCCCAUAAAGAGUUGAUAUAUUAUGGGCAAUUUAUUAUUUUUUUUAACUUUCACAUAUUUGAUUUAUGUUAAAUACAAAAUAUACUAGUUUUCCUUUGGGCGCUAUUUAACCAAUUUUCCUAUAAAGAGUUGGUAUGUUUCCCAUAAAGAUCUGGUACAAAACAUACUACAAAAUCUGCCAGUUUUCCAUAAAGAACUUGCAGGGUUGUUAAAAAUGUGAUUUAAGUUUACUUAACGGUCAUGUGAUUUUCACGUGACCAGUUCCGUUAAAAAUUGGCUAAAUUGCCAUUUGAGCAUGACAUUGGUCAAAAAUUAUUAAUUCAGACAUCAAAUAUGUCGUGCCCAAAAGUUGAGGGACGAAAUGUGUCCUUACUCCAAAGUUUGGGGAUGAAAACCGCAUUUUCCCUUUCUACAAUUUCUACAUUAGUAAAAUUUUAUAUAAACAUCCAAAAAAUUCAUCAUCCAAAUGGACUGUACCUUUUAAAAACACCUCAUAUAUAUCUAGACUUGUAUUAACAUGCAAAAGGUUACCUCCCCUCACCUCCACCUCCACCUCCACUCUCGCCUGGUUUCUAUGCAUCCCUCUCCAGGUCUCUCCCCCUCCCUGCCCAGCCUCCUUCCACCUCACCAUCAAUCACAUUUCUCCCCUCCUCCCAUUACUUUCAAUGUUUAUUUCAUAAUUUUCUAGUUAUUUUUCGCUAAAUUCAAUACUAUUAUUGCAGUCUCCAAAAUCAUAUUUCAGGGUUAGAUUUGGACUGUUGAAGGUAGUCGAAAAUAUUUUUUUUUUUUGUGUGAAAAGUUUUCGAAAACGCCGCAUCCGAAAGUUUUUGAUAAAACACAUUAAGAAAUGUCCUUUAAAAAUAGACAAACUGUCUUGGAGUAAAUGAACUUGUUAAUUUUUGGAAUUUGACAUGCUCUCAAGCAGACAACUUCCUAUCUGCAGGAAAACAAAAAAAUAAAAUAAAGAAUUCCUGUGACCACUAGAGACAGACAAAAGAGAACACCUUAAUUCGAAUGGAAUCUGAAUUCACUCUCCAGUCUCCAAAAAGAUAUUCACCCAUCUCAUUCAAACACAAAAAAGUAAAAGCAAACCAAAAAGAACAAAAGGAAGAACACAAACUGAAAUUAAAAAAGAAAAAGGUACAGAAUUAUUUAUAAAAGAACAUCUCAGAUUCUUUAUGCUUCUGCUCCUGGACACUGCACCCUGUUUCUGCAACCCCCCCCCCUCUCUCUCUCUCUCUCUUCCUACCCACUCUCAAAAAAAAAAUUAAAAAAAACUCUCCCUUGCUUUUGCCUUUAUCACCUCAAAAUCUACAAUCCCACCUCUUAACAAAAUCCAUGGCACCAUCAUCUAAUGUGGUGCAGAUGAGAAUACACACACUACACGCACUACUACUCAUCAGCAGUAGUUUAGUCAUCCAUGUGGCAGCAGCAACAUGGUGUGUAGCCAGAAGUGAUGCAAGUGAUCAAGCUUUGCAAACAGCACUGGACUAUGCUUGCAGUGCUGGUGCAGAUUGUGCACUCUUCAAUCAACUGGGCUGUGUUAUCUUCCCAACACUCUCAUUGCUCAUGCUUCUUAUGCCUUCAAUAGUUAUUACCAGCGCAAGGCCAUGGCUCCAGGAUCCUGUAGCUUUGCUGGCACCUCCACCAUAGCCAAAACUGAUCCAAGUAAUUUGUUUCUCUCCAACCCUUUUCAAGAUAACUGGUUGCAUGCGUAUAUAUGUGUUUUCUUUUGGGAAUUUGUGCCUGAUUUUAUAUAUAUAUAUAUUUUUUGUUCUUUUCUUCAUUUUGGAUUUUCAGGCUAUGGAUCUUGCGUUUAUCCAUCAUCUCCGAGGUAUGCUUUUUCUCCUUUUCUUUUGUUUCAUUCUCUUUAGUGCUUUGUCGUCUGUGAUUUGAGUCCUAUCUUUAGUUGCAUAGUUGCAGUUUUUUCCUUUAAAAGCAUGAAUUGUCAAGGUUGUUCUAUUCUUUUCAUACUUUCUUUUUGUGAUGUAGUCUUGUUAGUACUAUUUAGAGACCCAAAUUAAGCUUUAAUUUUUAGGUAUUUUCUUUGGUUACACAAUUAUUUUUCACUAAUUAUCGGUAUUAAGCCAUCUUACAUAUAAGAAGAUGUAUAUAUUUACUGUUUCUUUUUGGUCUAUUUGUUCAAAAAAAAAAACAAAAAGAUUAUAAGUAGAGCAGCCAACAUUGGAUUGGACAAUUAACAAAAAAUAAAUAAGAUUACGAAUAUAAUAAGAUGUUAGACUAUAUAUCCUUCUCUCAACCAUAGAACUUGAAUCCAAAACAUUUUAGGCUCAUAUGAUACCUCAAUCUUGGCUGCUGGCUUGUUUUUCUGUCAUUAGACAUAGGACUCAUUUGUGACUUAUUAAGCUUGGCCAAUUAUCGGUCAUCAUGACAGAUGAGAUUGCAACCGUUUAAUGUCACAGUAAUUUUUGUUGAAAUGACAAACUAUCACCUUCUAAGUCAAAAUCAUAGUAACAUUUGAUCUGACUUAAAAGGAGUAAAUUUGUCGAUUAUUUAAAAAAAAAAAAUUUGCUGUGAUAUUAACAUUAAACUUUUAAUAAUAUCAUUUUUCGCGAGUUAUUAAUAUUCAUAACUCAGAAAUCGAUCCCACAUGAUAAUCUUUUGUAACAAUUUCAAGAUUAUCCCCUUUUUAAGUCUAAAAGAAAUCCUGACUUAAAAGGAUAAGCCCUUGUUUGGAUUGCAAUUCUUUUUCAAAAAAUUUUUUUACUCUUUUUCAUUAAUAUAAUUUUUUAAUCAUCUUUUUCUUCAUAUACAUCAAAUUUCUACGAUAUAAUUUUUACAUUUUUCAUGAAUACAAUUUUUUUAGUCAUCUUUUUUCGUUUAACUUUUAUACAUGAUCUUUCUUUUCAGUCUUAUUUGGAAAGUUAUUUUUCAUCAAAAAAAAACUUCUACGUUUUUCGCAAACACAUUUUCUAUUCAUCUUUUUAUUUCACAUAUAUCAAAUUAUUACAAUAUUUUUUUUUAUAAAAAUUCCAAAAAAUUGCAAUUCAACGGGCUCUAAAAUUUGAUGGAAAAAUUUGGUCAUGGCAUUAACUUUUUUGACAUCACCCUAAGGUGAUGGAUGGAUCAUGGGGUGCGCGAGCGCCUCAUGGGUGAUGUACGUUGUAUAGGAUGCUUAGGUGUUCGGGUUUGUCCAUUGUGCAUUCUCACGUGGACGUAUUCAAUGGAUGUCUUCCACGUGUAAAUGUGGACGAGAAUGGACGUGGCUGAUUGUUUGUACGUGGCUUUGGUAGCCUGCUUUACUGCAGAGUUGGUUCUUGGGCUGUGUUGUCUUCAACGUUAGACUUAGACCGCAGGAUCGUUCUUAUUGUUUAGAUGGCAAUUUGCACGGCUGAGAUCUUAUUGAAAGGGGGGGGUACGACCCCACAUCAGCACCUGAUUCCAAAAUUAGCAUCGACCCCACAAGUCACUGUAUGUGGCUGCCUUUUAUGACUUUCUUCGCAGAGUUUCUAUUUCCAUUGACUCACUUUCAUCGUAAAUUAUGAUAGAUUAGAUUAUAAGAAUAUUAUCAUUGCAACAAAAAAAAAGAAAAAAUCACCUCAAUUCAUCACUUGUGCCUGUUGAUAUUGCUACACAACUUUGCUGCCGCGGUAUGUUUGGCUAAUUCCUCAUAAUGUGAUCCUUUAAAAAACGAUUGGUCAAAUAUAAAUGUGUAAAGUUCUAUUCUUAUUCUAUACCUGUCAUGUCUACAUAACAUGACAGGUCCGUCAAGCAAUUUCUUUUAAAUAACUAUGCCACAAACAAUUUUUUUUUUCAAAAAACAAACAUGAUUGUCACAUCUACAUGGCACGAUGGUCCAAAAAAUUGAAAUUUUUUAUGGCCUAUUGUGCCAUAUUGGCGCGACAAAUCUGAAAAAUUUAAAAAAAAAGUUAUUGUUACUUCUUGUUGUUGAUCCAACAUUCAUCAACUACUAGCUCUCAACCAUUAUAUAAAUGCGUUCUCUUGCAUUACUUUGCAAGAAGUAUCAAUUUUUCACCUCCAUUUCUCUCUCUAAAAUUUUAUUUUCGUGUUUCUCUUCUACUUCUCUCUAAACAAUAGCAUCUCUCUCUCUCUCUCUCUCUCUCCUCCAUUUGAAAAAGAGAGAGGGAGGUGAGAAAUAGCUAUUUCUUGCGAAGUAAAGUAAGAGAACACAUUGGAUCAACUGCUAUAAGUAACAGUAAUUUUUUAAAAAAUCUUUUAGGCCCAUUGUGCCAACACGAAUUUUAACUUUUUGGGUCAUCAUGCCAUGUAAGCGCAACAGCCAUGUUUGGUACGAUGGGCAUAGAACAAGAAUAGAACUCUAUACAUCCAUAAUUGCUCGAUCUUUUUUUGAAAGGAUUACAGCUUGAGGAAUUAGCUGUUGACUUAAAAUGGUGGAUUUGUACUUUAUACUCUUAUAUUCGAUAAGAAGAGUUAAAUUAAAUGUGCGGUAGGGAGGAGAGAUGAAUUGAGUGGUUUGACGAACGGUGUGCAAGUGAGAGAUAUUGAAUUCGAUCUCUUCCACUUACACUUAAAAGAAAAGGAUUAAAAAAAUAUUAAAUGUGUGGUGGGCCUGGUGGCCAAUUCAUCAUUUAGUCAUAUUGGCCAUUUAGGCAAAUUUCUAGAAAUAAUACUAGAAAAAAAGUUAUCAUAAAAGUGGAGUCAUGUGAGAAAGGUUUUUCUUUUUAACAUUUGCCACAUUCGAUGAAUGCUAGGAAAGUUUUUUCUUUGCUAAUGUUUGCCACAUUUGACGAAUGUGAUGACAGUCACUUUUUAUUUUUAAAAUGUUCUGAACGAAUUUAAAAGAAAAAAAAAACUGUGUUGCCGCAAGUAAUCAGGUACGACAACUGAAAGCAGGAUUUAAAUUUUUUAAUACAAAUGGCGACUCACACAAAGCUUUUUUAGCAAAAAAAAAAUUUUUUUUGAGUCAUUGCAAACAAUUUUUUUUAAAAAAAAUAUGAAGUGACUCAAACAAAUUUUUUUGAACAAAAAACUAUUAGAGAGAUGCGACAACAUAUUUUUCUUUUUUUUUUUAAUCCAAGGAAUCUAACUAUUGAUCAACCGUUGAUGAAAGGCUAGAUUCUUUUGAUGUUCACGAGAUACUAUUUGAAAAAAAUAAAAAUUUUUAAAAAAAGAUAACUGUUGAUCAACAGCUUUUAUAGCUGUUGGAUGGCUACAAAAUAUCUAUAAUAUACUCUCAAUUUUGAAUCUUGAACUCGUAGCAUCCUCAUUUUUUGCUUUUCCAUUUCUCUCUCCCUAUUUUUGGAGAGUUGCAGAGUAGCAGAAUAGGCAAAGAGAAAUGGAGGCAAAAUGGAGAUGGUGUGGAUUCAAACUUCAGAAUUGGGGCUAUAUAUAGAUGUUUUGUGGCCAUCCAACGACCGUAAAAGCUUUUGAUCAAUGGCUCACUUUUUUUCUUUUUUUUUCCCAAACGACAUUUUCAUGAAUAUUGAGGGGAUUUAGCCAUUGAUCAACAAUUAGAUUCCUUGGAUUAAAAAAAAAAAGAAAAAUAUAUGCGGUGACUCUAAUAGUUAAAAAAACUUUGUGUGCUGAAACUUACUUUUUUUUUUUUUUUUAAAUUAAUCUUGCUUUUAGUCGCCGAAUCUAAUUACAUGGGAUGACACGAUUUUUUAAAAAUAUCAUUGAGGACAUUUUAAAAAAUUACAAAAAAAAAUGUCAUUGCAUUUAUCAAAUGUGGCAAUAUUAAAAGAGAAAAUUUUUCCACAUAACCCCACCUUUGUGAUAAUCUUUUUUCAGCAUUAUUUCUAGAAAUUUGCCACCAUUUAGUGAAAUUGGGCUUUGGCGCUAAAAUUAGUGCAGUUAAUUUUAUUUUAGAUCAUUAAACUAUAGAUGCUUUCUUAUUUUAGUCCUUAAAUUUGAAUUGUGGACUCUUUAUACUUUAAAUUAUGAAAUUUGUCCCACUUCAGUAUAAUCAUUGUGCUGAAACUAACAAAAUCUUCCGUGCCACUUUGAGCAUUCUUGCCAACUAUAUUUGUUCGAUUUGACGAUUCAGUCAAUGAUUAUAUUGAAGUGGGAGAAUUGUAUUAUUUUAAAAUGUAAAGUGGACUGAAAUGGAUGCACAUUUAUUGUUGAAGGAUCUAAAAUAAAAUUGAUCUAACUUAAUACUAUAAUAAUAUCAGGAGGCAUAAGUUGUAUUAAUAAAAUGAUUUCAAAAAAGCAGAGGACUUGCAGGUGAUAUACAGUGCCCCCCCACCCCCUCCUCCCCUCCUCUCCCCUCCCCUCCCAUCCCAAAACCCAAAACCCUUCUCUUGUAACGCUUCUCUUAAAAAAUUUUUAAGGAAAGAAAGAAGUCACAAUUUCCAGCAUAACUGAUCAAGUGCAAGGUACAAAUGUUGAAGAGACGAAAGCUUAAGGUUGUGUUUGGAUUGCAUUUUUUAGGAUUUUUUUGUAGAAAAAUACUGUAAAAUUUGAUGCAUGUAAGGAAAAAAGAUAAUAGGAAAAUGUGAUCACGGAAAACGACGCAAUUUUCAGGCGGAAAAUGGCUGUCCAAACAAGGCCUUAAUCUUGUUGAAAUACGGCCAGAGAACUGUCUAAGCAUUCAUAUUGAUAAUUAAAGACUAUUAGAUGAAUGGAAAAGUUCAAGAAACGAACGUAUUAUAUUUAAAGAUUCAAGCAGAAUAUUCUGAUGGAUAUCAAGACUGUAAAGGUAAGACUCUUAAAAUAUUGGAUUCAAUGCCUUUCAAGGAACAACUUGUAAUUUAUAAUAAAGUCAGAAACUUGGAAUCUGUAAAUUCUUCAAUUCUUUUUUUUUUUUAAUUCAGGGUAAGAAUCUAAAGUUUCCACAGCCUGCAAUUUAGCUAGUGAUCUACAUAGAAGAGAUUGUAUCAUAUUAUUCACAUUAUACAAAGAGAAUGUUUGACGGCUAUCAUCCUGCUAUAGCAAUUUUUCUUGUAAACCAUUCUCUAAAUGUGUUAUAAAUCAGGUGAUGAGUGAUGAUCCCAUACCAGAAGCUUUCAGAAACUACAGACAUUAAUUGCUUAUAUACUCGUAAUAUUGCUGUAUAAGAGUUUCUUAUGUUUUUGGACCUGGUUUGAAAGAGGAGAGGAGAAGUUGGUUAAUUUGAUAAAAGGAGCUUAUGGGCACAUGUCCUAUUCAUUCUUAGAAUCGGCACACAAGAGAAGGCUUAGAAAGAUUAUGAAUCAGCAUCUAAUCGUUCAAUCAUGUCAAGCAUUGCCUCUAUCUGGAUCAACACCAACCUAAACCAUAGAAUCAUAUAAUGUAGUAUCCCAAAUGCAAAUAAGGGAAUAGAGAAGAAUGACAAUUUUCCCCGAAAAUUUGCAUUACAAUCUUGGGAUGCACUUCUAGGUGGUCCUUUAGGCAUCUGCUUUUCUCUUCUAUUCUGUCACUGCUCUUUUGCAAGGAAUUUUGGAAAGGAAAAGAUGGCAAGUUGGCCAAGGGGAUUUCUGAAAGGUGCUUCAAGGGUUGGAGUGCAGAGCAUAUUAUUGUCCAUUCAAAGAACUAAGAUUCUGGCCUUCAAUUUGUUUCGAUGGCUAGUCUUCUUUGAAUUUUCACUUCUUUCUCUUGUCAAACUCCUCAUCUGCCUCUGCACCUGCUGUAUCUGCACUUGCAUUUUUUUUUUGUUAAAAAUUUUGGCCUUUUUUAACAGCCUAAAAUUACAAUGCAAUGUUUGGAUUGUGAAACUUGCAGCGCUGCGGGAGGACCACCUACCGUAGGUGGUAUGCCAACCAAUCCAAUCACUAGUCCAUCUUUGACCGCACCACCACCACCGGAUACACCCUUAAACAACGGUGGAGGCUUGACCAGGGCUGGGUGGUGGAGUUCCUGCAACACAGAAUUCUAAAGCUACUUCUCUACCAUCCUCUACCGCGACUACCUUAACUCUUUCAUCUUUCUUGCUUGUACUCUUUCUCAUUUCUGAACCCUAAUAUUGCCCUGAGAGAGAACAGCAACAGGGCCUUAAGUGAUUGUGAAGACUAGGUUAGUGAAGUUUUGUUAGGUAUGAGGCUCCUUGUCUCAGCCGCUCAGCAGUUUUGUAGCAAAAAAAUAUUUAAGGCUUUUGAUGUAAUGUUCUCUUUUGGCUGCUUAAUUCUCUUCAUGCCUUGAUCCCAAUUGGAGAAGUUUAAUUCAUGCAUUCUUAGUUGGACUACAUUUCAACUACUGGAGUUCUCACUACGCAUUCUGCGAUUUCUAGUUCCACCUUCUUUUUCCUGAAUUCUCCAUCCUCUUAAACCAACUUGCGAAAAAUCCACUGAAGUUCUUGGAAAAUGUUGGUGAUCACCAAAACGAAAAAGAGCAAGGCUUGUGAGUGUUUUCUAUGUUUGAUAUUUGCAGAGCGACGUAUCGAAAUCGUCGGCAGAUAACGAUGAAAACAAUAAAAACUUAUAAUUUCAAAUUCAAAUUUGCACACGUGUUAUAUAUUUAAUGAUGAUAGUGUAUACACUGACAGUGUAUAUAAAUUAACCCAACUUAUAAACUGGUGCUCUUGAAAGAGACUAUAUUGAGGGUCAAAAUUCAUCUUCAAGAGUGCAUUACGACUAGAAUAGGAAUUUCAUAUUCUCGUAGUCAAGUGAGACUUCAAUACUUUGAUUUGCCUGUUUACAGCUCUUGCUUCACCCGUAACUCCCAUAAACACACAUUUUCUCUGAAGUACGUAGCAAGAAAACCAGAAGAGGACCUUCUUCAACAUUUAAUUGUAACAUGGAUAACUCUGUAAAUUUCUUUUAAUCUUCCUAUCAUCCUAUAUAGUAAUAGUAUGAAAGCCGUCUUCAAAAUACUGAAGCGCAAAGAUUGGAAUUAACAUGCUCCAAGUUUUGAGUUCAUCUGGCAUUGAAUUCAAAAUCUAGAAUUCAACUGAAGAAGAGACCUGAGCGCAAACGAGAAAGCAAGAAAUGUAGUCAUCAGAAAAUAUAAAGAUAAGAUGGAAACGAAAAUCAGAAUCUGCAAACUGCUUAUAUUUGCUUCAACUAAACAAAUAGUCAUGUCUGUAGCUUAUAGGUUAGUUGAAGUAAGGUCAAAUCAAGGUUCUCUUUAUUUGAACUAAGUGUGCAACUAACCUGCUGAUGUUUGGUAAUCAAUAUAGAAAAAAUACUGCUUCUUCAUGCACUAUAUUGUGUUUCCCCACCCAAAUAUCCCCCUUUGUCUUGACAUAUUAAAGUCUAGGCCUUAAUUUACCAUUCGACUCCCCAUUCAAUCAGUUAAGAUGUCUAAUCAGUUACGUGUAAGAACUAUAUUUCAAUUAAUGUUCCAGAAAUAGCAUUCCAGUUAGUGUGGUACACUCCCUCCUCUCCAAAGCUUAAUUACCUUUGGUUCAACUGGGCAUCUCUCGGGUUGUCUCACAAUGUAUAUUUGAUCACGCAGCUUCAUUGUACAUAUCCUGAUUCCGGUGCCAUGUCCACAGAGCAUGUGUCUCAUUCUUCACCUGCAGAUUACAUGAAGAAAUAUAGUCAUCUUUUGCCUUCUCCAGAGUUGUGUCCUAUGGUCUAUCCUCAACAGGAGAUACGAAGUUAAUUGUAAGAAUAUUAAAGCACCAAAAAGCAGGAUAUUUUUUCAUUUCAGUGUUUGGAAAAGCACCCAACUACACGAGACUCUAAUGUUCAGAGUUGGAAGUCUUGGUAUCCCAACCAAAAAUUCCCUCAAUGAACCAAAAGGUACAAAUUUCAUCUUGAAUAUAAAUAAACUGCUAAAACUUAGAAGAAAGAAUCCUAUUUCAGUUAAAGACAAAGAUCCCAUUCCCUAGAGUAAGGCAUCCAAACACCAUACUAACUGAACAAGUUUUGCCUCCAACUCUCCAGAUAAUAUUUAACUAUAGUUCUGCAAAGCAUAUUCUAGUGUACAAUUCACUGCUCAGGUUAGUUUUCAUAACUGCUCUAGUUGGUGCAUUUUGAAGCUAAUUAUUAGUCAGUAAGUUGUAAUGCUUUCUUUGGACUAGCAUCCAAGGGGGAGGGAGGGAGAGAGAGAGAGAGAGAGUUGUACCUCUAGAAUACCAUGUCCAAAGCUACUUUCCCUGUAUGCACUAUAAUCUGGCUGUCGAUCCCAACAGAACUUUCCAGCUGCUGGACCUGAUGUAAAAUUGUAAGCACAAAAUCCACCCAUAUAGCUGUCCGGAGUUGUAGAUGGAUCUGGACAGUUCCCUGGUUCAUCGCAUGUUUAAUAGCCAUUUUCUCCCUGUUACCACCAUCACCAACUGCUAUGUAUACAGGCCCACAGGGAUCCAGAGUGUAGUUGUAGACUCUGUUUGAUCUCUCAUAGGCAUGAACCUAUAGUUUAAACAAGUUCCAAAAAAAGAAAACAAAGCCUCAUUGAGAUCUCUAAAGCAAGAAAAGGAUUUUGUUUUACAGAUUGCAGAAAAUGAAAUUACAUUAACAUAGUACUGAUUUUUUUUUUGUCACGAAUCAAUGAAGUUUGAAUAAUUAUGUUGGAAAAAAGCUUAAUGUAAUUAUAGCUCAAAGUAGUCAAUGAAAAGAAUUACCAAACUUUGUACGUUAAGCCUAAACAAUAUAUGCUUGUGAACACAGCAGCAAUGGUGGAGGACAGGAUACUGCUGUUUCUGUGGCUAUGAGAUUGCACAAAGGUCUAACCAGGUUAAUAAAAUAGAGAACAGGAACUGCUCAACGAUUUGAAGUAAUGUGGAUUGAAGAAGAAUCAUUAGAAAAUUGAUAAAGAUGAUUUUCUUAUGCUAGAACGAAUGACCAGAAUAUGGAUGGAGCAAAUGAACCAGUAGGAUUUACUACAAGGCUUGUCACCAGCAAAAGUAUACAGCAUGUGAUAAUUAAAUUUGUUUCAGUAAGAUUUCAGACGAUUAUUUCCACAUUUACUAAUUUUUAUUACAAAAACUAUAAAGAAAUACAAGAUAAAGCUGAAGAAUAGCUUUAUUGCAUUUACAGUAUAAGCACUCACGUGACUGUUACACACUUACAUGUCCAUUGAAGACUAUAUCAACACCAUACUUGUACAGUAUUUCUUCCAUCUCUACCCUCAUACAUUCACUUCCCUGUAGUGAGCUACAUAUGUUGAGUACCAUGGAGGAUGCCAAGUUGCUACCAGCCAAGGAGUGACUUUUCUGUCAACUUUUGCAAGUCUCUCUUCAACCAUUUGUAUUGAUCAGCUGAAAUUCAGUAGUUAAAGAUGAGCUAUAAAACUACUUCACAUUCUUUUGGACAUAAAACUAGACAAAAAAAUCCAGUUAAUUGCUGAUGAAAAAGUGACAACAUGUCAUAGAUACAGAUAUGCAUAAUCUGACAAAUUUCAUGAGGCAAUCAAAGAGUAGCAAAAAAAGGCCCAAGCAAGCAGAUAGACGUGAAUGCAUCUCAUCAAUUACCUGACUUAUUAUAUGCAAUAUAUGCACCGAGCAUUAUGAAAUGUAUCCCUCCCGCAUUGAAUGAAAAGUAGAACGUAGACAAAGAUCCACUUUCUUUAGAUGGAAAUGCAAACCGAGAACUAUAGGCUGCAAAUGUCCGAUUCCCAACUUGUUCUUCGAUCUCAUGGUUUCCCUCUACUACCAUUAGUGGUACUUUAGACACUAGUGGCUGCAUAAACCUGCAAAAAUAUAAUAUUCUAUUACGUUUGUUCUAAUGCACAAUUAUGGAAGAAAUCUCUUGCACAGACGGUAAAAGAGUGAAGUAAAACUGAAACAAUUUCUAUUGUUCAAUGUAGAAGUCUGCAAGAAGCUAAUGAAUGUUAGGGAAGAAAGGGAAGGAAUAGUCUAGGUCUAAAAAAGACUCACAAAAAUUACAGACUAAAGAUGGAUUGAGUGAUAAAUAAACUGGUGAUGUGCACGAUAACCAUUAAGAGUUCUAGCAACUGCAAGUAAUGCUGUAAACCAGAAGUUAAUUUUGAGAGAAAUCAGCCUUCUUUAUGAUAGAAAUAGACAUUCUUACUCAACAAACUAGGUGUACGAGUCUUCUGGUCUCUUUUAGUAGCACCAGUUGCACUGACAGCAAAAGAAGAGCAGAUAAUUCUACUCAUGGAUAGCUAGUUCACUAUUUUACUCAUGCUGGAAGUUUCUGUUGCUUGCCUCAUUAUUACAUGAACAAUAAGUACAAUGGACGAAAGUAUUAAAGCUACCUUCCCCAGUAAUCCCAACGAGGUUGAUAGGUCUCAUGGAUGGGUGUAUCAGGAAACGAGCAAGAAUAGCAAUCAGCGCCAGUUCCAUUUGUCAGAUACAGAUUGGCGUAGGAAACAUCCCCCACCAAUAGAACAAGAUCAGGCUGGUUGCUUAUCAAGUGGCUAACAGUUGAAGUUGUAUUGUAUGUAAGACCAAGGUCUCCCACCACUGCUAUUCUGUUAGGGUAGUUUUUUGGACCUGAAGCAGGCAUAGUCCUGAAUUGAUAGAUAUCACUCAUUGCUGGUAUUGAAGGAUCUCCACAUCGAUAAUAAUAUUCAGUGUUGGGUUCCAAUCCUGCAGGGCACAAAACCAAUCCCAUCAUUUGAGAAAAAAAAAACGUUUUCACCAAGACAGAAGCAAAAUUGAUCUCCUUUAUUCUACUUAAAGAAAGCAUGGAAUUAGUAGCAAUAGCAACAAGUACAUACAAUGUGAAUUUAAAAUAGAUUCUAGUAAAUGUAGGACCAUUUAAUGUUUACUGAAAGUAAGAUUAGGUUGGUUUUAUUGGACCCAUGCAUCCAUUUAGAAAAACUAGAUGUUGCAGUUGGCUUGAUUCAAUUUAAUUGAAACCAAGUGGAAGGUGUCUCGGAAUCAUUGUUGAGAAAAGAAACUUAACAACAAUGUACUACGCACAUUUGCAAGCUGCAAAACUAUCAAAUGAGACUUGCCUAACAUCACCAGGCUGUAUUUCCGGACAAAGAAUACAAUGGCAGGUUGCCGUUGAAAUCCAGUAAGUCAAGAGAAACACAAGAGAUCAAAAACUUAAAACCACUCAAUUUAACACAACCAAGAUAUGUGAAAACAUUGUUCUAAAAUCAUGCCAGGGCAUUAAACCAAUCAAUAUCCUAUUAGAGGGCACCUUGCAUAUAUUUUACUCAGACAUCACAUAAACCCUGACUUUAUUUCAUGGGUGUUUGGCAGGCAGAUAGUCUGAGAACCAGCUACAGAACCUUAUUUAGCUUCUUCCAGCAAUAUUACAUUUUGACCUUGAGAUGUGGCUGACAAUCAUGUGACAGGACUCAGAAUCCAAUCAUAAAGCUUGGACGGUUCCUUUCUUAUGUAUCCAACUAAAAAUUAUAAAAUUCUAUGUUUGAAAUAAGCAUUACAUCUGAAAUGAUCUGUUGCUCCCAAAUUUGUGACUUAAAAUUUUGUUAAUUCACCUGUAAGUUGGACAUGAUGUAUGAUCCCGGAGGUGUAGUUCUGCAAGCCUUCAAAUGGAUAGAGCUGGUUAUAAAUUAAUGAAUCACCCUUUACUUUGUGAUUCAAGAAGAGAUUUGAUUUCCCAUAGUAUACAAAACUUUUUAGAGUCUUGGGAUUCAAUGGUUUGAUGUUGUCACCUAUUUGAAAUUCACCUGCAAACAAAUAAUAUCACAUUUGAGAGGAUCAUACUGAUAUAACAAACAUCUAUAACACCCUCUUCUGAUUCAUCUAACAAAAAUCAGGCUCAUCCUUACGUAUCCUAACUAUUAACAUGCGUUCUUCUCCUGUAGCUCUCAAAAAUGAACAUCAAUUCAUAAUCCAAUUGAAGUUCUCACUGAUACCUACGUCACAACUAAUUCGAACUUUUCAAGAAGACAUAGAAAGCAUCAACUUAUAAAAGGGCAGUCAAUAAACUUCCAUAACUCCCUUCUUGUUCUUAUCUAGAAUAUUUUUUUCCAGCUCAUCAAUUGCUAAAUACUCCUCCAAACAGACAAAUUAAAUGACUUCAAAAUACUAGAUUGAGACAGAACCAAGAACAUACAUAUAUCAAAUGAAGUUACCUGUAAUCCAUGAAACCCAAGCUGAAUCAUAAUCUGAAGAAAGGGAGACUGAAAUUUGUUCAGGCUCAAAACCUACAACAUUUCUCUGCACCCUAUGAUCAGUAUCUGGCAAAUCAAUUGCAUUCCCUCUAAAACUCUUAUCCAAAUCAACUGUCACUGGCUUAAAUUCCUUCUACAGUUGUCGGAAUUCUCCCAUAAACUUGCACAAGGUUCAGCAAAAGAAACACAGCCAACCCAACAAGAGCUCUCCCUUUUAGCAAAGCCAUCUCAAGACUUUGCAUGCAACAGUUAAUCCCUCCUUAUCAAGAACUUAUGCAUAGAAAAUUUGAUCAAACAGCUGAGGAACAGAGACAAAAAAGAAUAGGCGUGACAAAAAAAAAUCAAGAGUUGAGAAGAGUAGAGCCUCCUAAAAGACAAAAGAAGGUAGAAAAUCAAUCAAAAAGAUAUGAAACCAAGAAAAAGUGAGGAAAAAAGGGGUGUCACAAAUGAAAAGGUCGAGUCUUGAGAAGAAAAGAACCUCCUAAACGCUAAAAACAGGCAUCAACGAAGUUGCUAAACGUUAAAAAUUCUGAACCAAGUUUAAAUUACAAGUACAUUUACCAAAUGGGUUCAAUCUAGAAUUGUAAAACACGCAUGAAAAUAUGAGAAAUUUUAAAACUUUUCGAAAAAAGUAAACAAAACGAACUGCUUUAUUACGAAGAUGGCGUGAGAAUUUGAGGGAUGGAAACGAGAUUUGUGCAAUUUGGCAAAUGGCGGUUAUGUCAGCUAAUCUGUGUUCGAGAAAAAUACAGGAGAGAUGGAAAUCCUCGUUCAGUGUGAAUAGCAGUUCCUGGUGAAGGCGCUUCCUUUGGUGACUGAUUUUCGUAUGGGCCAUGUUUUGUGAAUGUGAAUUCGUUCUUAGUGUGCCCAACUUGUACUACUCUUGCAAUGACGAAUCUCUUAUCUGAAAUGGGAUAUUCUGUCCGAAUUCGAUGUAGAUUUGUUUUUGUAGUAAACAAAUCAACAGACAGAUCCGAAGAGCGUGGCUCCUCGUUGAGAGAGACCUCACCUGUUAAUUUUGUCCCAAAAGAAAAUUAAUGUGUUAAUUUUGUACAAAAAAAAAUAGUUUAAUAAAUAUCGAUGACAUAUAUAUAUCUUUGUGCAAGGCACAAUCAAGGCUUCUAGUAGUUUAGUUGAAUACAUUGUAACAAAACUUUUUAGUACAUAAUGAACAAAAACAUAGGAGAAAAGUUAAAUAUCAAAAUGAUUAAAGUCUGCUAUUAAGAGAAAUUUCAUCUAUGAAAUUAGUCCUCAAUUUACUGUGAUUUGGACAAAAAAUUUUUAACCAAUAUUAUGUGUACAUAAUGAUACCAAACAGAAGAGAAAGCAAAUUCAUUAUGAGUGCAUUAUCGAUUUAACAGUAGUAUAGUUUUAGUUGUAACUAAACAAAAAUAGUCAUAAUGUUUCUAACGUUUUAAUAAUUAGAAAAAACUUAGAAAGCCACCGAGACUUGUUACAGUUUUCAACAUAAAUAAAACAUACAAAUUUGCAUAUUUUUCUUUCUUUGAGAGAAAAAACUAGUUAAUCAGUCCAUUUAAAUCCUACAUAGUAGCAUUACAAACAGGUGAGAACAUGAGUCUGUUUGGAUACCCCAAAUUUACAUAAUUUUCCUUGAAAAAUUGAGUUCCAUAAUGUGGUUUUUGGAACAUAUAUCCCUCAUUGAUCUAUAUGAAAAGACUUGCAAUUAUGAUAGUUCUGUUGACUUGACUGAAAGCUGGAUAGACUGGGAGUAUGGUCAUAAAGGUACGGGAGCGCGACCUACCUAAAUUUCAGCCGCCACCCAUCUUUGGUCAAACGAAUGGUUACUGCCCUGGAUUUGCAGCUGUUCUCCUCAAACAAAUUUUCGGACUUCUUGACAAGACCCAGAACAUUCUACAUUGCAAAUGAGUUUUUAAUUAAAAAGUUUUAGCGUGAUUUGGGUAGUACCUAGGUUUUUGUGGCCCCAAAAUUGAGGUUUGUAGCCAUAAACAUAAACUGAUUACAAGAGGUUACAGACAUGCACGAUCACAGACAAAGUACAACCAUGCAUUGAUGGACUUGCCGAAAUUAAAUAUGCAUAAUAUUUAUGACAUUUGCCAAGAUUAACAUAAAUAGGCAAUUUUGUCGAGCGGCUUUGCCUUUCCUCUAGCAUUGCCCGAAUGUCCAUGGACAUUUUUUAUGAUUCUUCAUUAACGAUGGCGUAUAUUUCCAUAGGCAUUGAACAUAUGAACUGUCGUUGCAUCUCUCAUGCCAAUCCAUUGGUCAAUCAUUUCGGCCGGGGAGGAAGGAGAGGGAUGCAGCGGCUGUAUCUCCAGAUAGGAAAAAAUUGCACCGUGAAUAUCUGGAUCUCCUAUAUCAAGGUUUGCAAAGUAAAGGUCAUUCGGCUACUAAUCUCUAAUGAAAUUGUGCACAGCACAACAGGCAACAGGCAACAAUUAUGUUUAUCUGAGUAAUUAUCAUGUAAUUUGGCACGGCGCCCCAUAAGAUAGCAAAUCUCCUCUUAAGGACACAAAAGGUUCGCUUUAUGACAUUGCAUAAAGCAGAAUGGCUGUAAUUAAAAAGUUCUUUGGCAGUGGCAAAUUUCCCCCUUCUCUGACCACUUACAUCCGCUUGACGUCCUCUAUAAGGUGGUAAGAAAGCGGGCAAGUUUUGAUACACGGAAUCAACCAAGUAGUAUUUGUCUUAUCAUAAAUGUGUUUUUUGGGCCCAACUAGUUUUGUGAAAAUUAAUGCUAAAUAUACAUACAUGGAUUUUCUUGUAUAUCUGGGGGCAUUGGGAAAUGAUUUGGACCUGUCAGAGCCCCAUCCAAAACACGAGCAUCAUGGGCACUUCUCUUCCAACCUGCAUACAUGUAUACAAAUCUCAUAGUAUGAUUGUAUACAACCAACACAUUUUGUGACUACACUCUGUGUCUAUUAGUGUAUGCCACCUGCUGUCUACUCGAGAUAGAAAUAGGUAUGUGUGUCCCGUCAAUGGCUCCAAUUGUGUCCUUUAAAUAGCAAUUGAAGUCAUUGCGAAAUUAAGGGAGUGCUUGGUUUGAGGGUAUAGGAUUCAAGAUUUGGAAUGAUGUCCAUUUUAAGUGCUUGGAUAAGAGGUGUGGGAUUGAGGAUUUUGGAAUGAAUUCUAAAAGUCAACAACUCUCCAUUCCUGAGUAAUGUGGUGGGUUUUGUUAAUUCCUAUAUUUGAUUCCAAAAUAAUUUUAUAAAACAUUUUUUUAUCUAUUCACUCCUUCACCCUCAUCUCGUCAUCCUCCUACUAGUCUUCCCCAUCACCUCCCACCAUUUGUCUCUUCCUCCAUGGCAUCUAAAAAGUUUUCUUGUUGCCAUCACUCAAUAUUUCAAAAACUUCCACCUUUCCUCUCGCUAGUAUCACUCCUUCUUCAUCCUCAAAAUCCAAAUCCUAGAUCUCUAAAAUUUCACCCAUCACAACAAGCCCCUGCAUAGCCUCACCUCUGAGUUUGAAUCAGUACCAGAAUUUACAGCCACAAUCUCAAGGGAUUCAGCUUCAAUUGAGAAGAAACCACGUAAUUUGAGUCUGGUGUCACCCACUCAAAGUUCAAAAAAAUCUAUUUGCAAGCCAUUGACAAGUUCUGAAUUUGGAUUGUAUCAAUUGACAAGAAAAAAGAAAACGUGGCAUUGCUUCAUCAUAUGAGUUAUGUCUGAAAGUAGGAGAGAAAAGAACAAAAAAAUGAAAAAAAAAUAGAAGGUCUUGAUUGGGGAUGGUCUAACGAUGACUGGCGUUUGCUGCUAAAGGCCUCGUAUGAUUGAACCCAACAAAGAAAAAGAUAGGGCAAAAAUGCAAUAAUAAUUUUGAUACCCAUUCCACUAAAAAUUAUACCAAGUGGUAAUGAUUUCAAUGAUACCAGGAGCUUAUACCUAUACUAAUUUUUUAUAAUUCAUUCCGUAUCCAAUUCCAAUUACAGAGCAUGAACCAAACACCCCCUAAAUGUAUUCAACCAAUCACUUAUAAAAUUAACAUAACAAGCUCCACCAUACUUCCCAUAAAAAAUUUAAAAUUAAACAAGUUCCUGACUAACCCUUUCAGAUAUCAGCAUGAAUGAAAAAAAAAAAGAGGACUACUCGUGGUUUAGCUAGAAAAGUGCAAUAUAGAUCAAAUAAUAUUAAUGCUUUGAUGAUCGUUUGACAUCAUGGAGCUAGUUCAAAUUUUUAUUUUGUGUUCUAAGCCAUUUUAGUUUUUUUUCAUCUUACUAUGGUGAGUUUUCCACAUUUAGUUUGUAAAAUAAAAAAAAAGGAUAUACAAUAUUAAGAUUAUAUAUAUCCAGUAUGAAUCGAAGCAUUUGUAGGACAAAUCCCAUGUAUUACUCAUCCAAGAAAGGUUUAAUCCAUACUUGUCAAAGUAGACUUUCAAUUUGUGUUGAAUCUUGAAGGGCAAAUCUUUGGCCAAAACUUGAGUAUUAUUUCAAAUUACUUUUGUACAUUUAAUUUUUAUGUUUAAAAUUCGUAUGGCCUACCAAUUCCAGAAUUUAAUUUUCAAAAGCAAUUGAAAUGUUUUAAACUAUUACGUCAAUUAUUACGAACAAUAUGCAUGCUACCAUUAUUGUAUGCAUGGACUAGUAAUACUUGCUUCGUUCUUUACCACAUUCCAGUGGUGCCAUUACUGUAUUUAUCAUUUCGUCUGUUAGAUUUCUUUUAUUGAAAGCAAUCCCAGUGCUCCCCAUACAAUAACAAAAAUAUAUAUAAGAUUCUUUGAGACCCAAACGUUCAAACUUAAUCAGUGUAUUAGCUAACCAUACUUCAAACCAUGGAUAAAAUGUACUGUCAUUUAGAAUUUUUGGAUGGACUUCAUCCUAGCGUCUUGUAGUGAUGAUGAAUUAAGCGAAUGUACAUAGACUCCUAAUGACUUCCUGAAUAUUCUGAUGCACUAUCUCCAACGAGUGGUUGAAUCGAUCCGCAAUUAUUAGCAUCCGCAUAUUGUAGCUCAUUAUAACUAAAGUCAUCGCAAGUGCCUCCUCUAUCGUAACCCUUUUCUAAUGAUACUGGGGGGACAAAUUCACAUUCGAACAAUAUGUUGCACAAUCUCAUAAAUGAAUCUACACUUAAUCUUGUUGCAUCCAUAAUUCGGGUGUGGUUACCUGAUAUCAGUUCUUCAACCCAUUGUCGGCCAAUUAAUGCUAAUGUCCUACAAGGUACCUUGUGGAUUGGGUCUCUGUAUGCUUCUGCAUUUGACUCGAACAAUAGGGCAGCACCAACUAUAAAUAGAAGAUCAUCUUUGUCCGAGGAUGAGCUGGUCAUAUGGCCAUCACGAAAUGCGUUCAUUUUUUGGUAUGGCAAAAAAAAAAAAAAAAACUACCACAUAUAUACGUUUGGUUCCUAAAGUGGUUGAGGGAUAGAGCAAUCAGUUCACCAAGCGAUCAAUCCUUAUAAAGGCAAAAAUCUGUGAUUCUUCUUAUUGUUUCAGCGAGUAGUGCAAUUCUUGUCAAUUCAUCUGUGUCAGUACUAGCGAAUAUAUGCAGUCUCCACGGUGCCUUGUCUGCCAUUGCACCACUUAGUAAUUGGUAUCGAAGAGAUAAGACUCCUACCAAGGUUGCGCGAUAGUCCAGCCAGCAUGGGAACAUCGUUCAGUCUGUGCAUACAAAAAUCUACACAAACCAGUUUUAAAUAAAAUAAAAAGCAAACAUCUACCAUCUAUCAAACCAACUUACUUCAAUAUGCAAUUAUGCACAAAAGUCCAAAACAUCAAUCGGCACUAGGGAUAUAUGUAUUGGUUAGUAACCUGUUCAUGGAACAUGAAUUGAAGUCAUAAAUUUGGUUAAUAACUAAAUUUGGGCCCUCCAGACAUCAGUUCAUUUGGAUGUCCCUAAUUGCUAUGAGAGUACGCAUUUCCAUAAGGCUGCAUUUCCAUUCAUGGGAAGGUGGUCAUUUUGUCCUCACUUCGAUCUUUAAAAGGGUUCCAAGACUUAUACAUAUACAACCUUGAUUUUUUAAAGGUUUCUAUACCCUGUCGGCCAUCUUACAUCACCUUAUACAUAUACAAUCUGCCAUCCAAAACUUUUGUAAUCCAUAUAGACUUCUAAACUUUGCAUAGUGCAAUUCAUUUAAUAUAUGCAGACGUGCAUAAAAGUCUAAAGCUAGUAAUCCAAAAAACUUAGCCUAGUACUUGGCAUAGUAAUGCUCAAUAAACAUAAGAAAAAUCUUAUACAAGCAAGUCAUGGUUAAGAAUUGGUCCUCUGGUUUUGACUCAAUACAUAAAAUAAGGGAAGAGGAAUCAGCAGGCAAGCAAGUACUUUGAUCAAAUUUAAAUUGACCAAACAAAGUUUCCCCAUUUGGAAGAAACUAAAAUACAAGUAGCACACCACACCACAAAAAAAAAAAAGAUUAGAAAAGCUGGAAGAUUUUUUAAUCCUGGUAGCUCAACGAAAAUUCUUUUCAUGCUGAUGCACAGGCAUCCACACACGACACUACUCUUCCCCUGAGCCCUUUUGAAGGGCAAUGUCUAGAGAGUUAAGCCAAUACUCCUGAAGAUUGCGUGCCAUAGCCAGGAAAGUCUUAUGCCACUUGUCGUCCUGCAAUUGUAAAAGAGUAGUGAGCUUCCUCCCUUUGUGAAAGCCUUCAAACGAGUUGACAACCUAAUCUGCCAUUGUAACAUCGAAUUUCUCAAAAUCGAUUUCUUGGCGAUCCUUAAUCAAUAGUUUUGCUGAGGGUAGGUUGAAGAAUGAGUUAGCACACUCAACGAAAGGAUUAUCAAAACUUCUACUUAACUUGCUUCGACGAGAUCCGUGUACCGAGAUCGUGGCCCCUAGACUGCUUAAAACUCGCUUACUUCCUACUUUAGGAGCUUCUUCAUAGCAUUCAGCAUCAGGGCUAUCAGUGAACAUUUCCUCACUGAAUUGCAAACUUGACUGCCCUCCUAAAUGAGUAGGUCGAUUUUGUCGAGCAACAAGUAAAGGCGGAACUGCAGAAGAAACAGCUUGGCUCCCAGUGGCAGUUUUUCCUUCCAAAACCUUAGAUAGUAUUGAAUAUUUGUUGAUGCACUGGUGGUAUCUAAAGUUCCUAUAAUCCCGAUUCUCCUAUUAAAAAGAAACUAACAAAAUUGAGUCUUAUAAUCUCAUUUAUUAAACCCAAUAAAAAUGAGCCAAAAGUAUAUAGUAUUAUUGUAGGAAGUGAACCAUGGGAGCCAAAUACCAGGUUUUAAACAAGUAGAAAGUCAACUAACAAUUAAUAUUAAGCAUAGUAGUGUAUUAAGUGUCAACAGUAAAGAAUCAAAAAAAGUUCCAUUCUCAAUAAGAAAAAUGUUGUAAGGGUUUUUACCAUUUGCAAAUUGUUUCACUAAGAUUCAUUGGCCAAGAAGCAUCUCCUAUUCUAGUCCCAAUCAAUUCAAGUUUCGGACGAGAGUCACAAACUUUUUAACUUGACAAAGGCACGCCAAAUCCUCUUCAAGCACUUGUACUUCGAAUGGUAGAUAGUGCAGCUAUACUACUUUCCCCAGGUGGAAUUGAGGUGUGCAGCAAGCUUCAUCCAAUUGGCCUUAGAUGCGAUGUUUGGAUUCCACUCCACACUUUUUUUUUCUAUUCAACGUAUGUCAUACCAGAAGUGCAUCUCCAUGUUUUCAUUUCAACGAGCCUUUGCAAUUGUGUGGUCAUGAGGCAUCCAGACCAAACUAAAGGAAUUGCAUAUCUUCUUAAAAUUGCUUAACAAAUUGAACAAUCCAAGAAUUUCAACAUAGCUCGGACUUCGAUUACAUGGUACUUUUCCAACCACAGCGUCAAUGGAGUUGUAUAGUCAAGCAGCUUUUAUAUAUCAAAUUUAAGGAUUGUUAUUCCAAGUUAUUAUAAAAUUUUGAUCAUCUAAAUGCAAUCUUUACCUUAACAAAACAGGCACAUACAUGCAUAUACAUCUACUUACUGAGUUUUUUCAAAUUUACAUGUAAUCAAAAUGACAAUUUUGAUGCUAAAGUUAGAUGACUAACCUUACAAAUUUGCUACAGCAGUUAUCGAGGCACUAGAGCACAUUUAAAUCGCUCUUUAGGUUUGUGUUUUUAAUUCUUGUAAAUUCUUUAAAAAAUACUUGUCCUUUUAUAAUAAAAAAGAUGUAUAAUCUUUAGAUUUGUUCUAAGCCAUUUUAAUACACCACACCAAGUCUAGCUCUACAAGACUAUGAAAUGUGAAUAAAAGAAUAUACUCCAUCACUUAUAAGCUUGAGACCCUAUGUGCUACUUCUCUUGCAGUUAUCUUGAAGUAUAUUGGCGGUAAGAAGGUUCUUAGUCAGGACAGAGCAAGCUUUAGUGAUCAUAAAGUUGAAGACAUCAUAAAUAUCUUAACUAUCGCUCUACGAAUAUGUUUUUGGUACUGUACUAAAAACUUUUUUUUUCUUUUCGAUACACGUAGCCAUACAAAGUAAAUAAACUACCAAGUAAUAAUUUGAAGUCUCAUAGUUGAAAUCUCGGUAGCAAAUGGCAAAUACCACGCCACAAAUUGAUUGUGGAUGUAACAGUUGAAGUUCCAAAAAGUUCAACACAUAUUGAACAGCACAAAUGACUCAGGAUUAGCUAUGUUCAAGUAAUAGAGUAAAGGAUGAGUUCACAUGGAUGUUUGAAAAUAUUUAUAGGCCUAAAUUUGAAGAGACCACCAUGAAAAUGCGACAUCAACACACGUUAAUGCACUUUUUAUUAGUCACGGGGACUUACUCUGAAGUAGUUAACUAGGGAUUCGAUGUAGUCGUUAAAUUCUGUGACAGAGUGGAUGGAAGAAGCCUCAGAUGCACGAGUGAGAGUUGGUGGAUCGGACAGUGAUCUCCUAUGCUUGUUGGGCAUAUACUCCAUGUCAAGGUGUGUUAAGAGGAUGCAGGUCAUGUGGGGCUACACUCAAGACAAAUAGAGCCAAUUUUGAUUCGCGAGUAAGCUUUGGUCAGUUUGCAUUCUUUGUUACCGAAUGGGGAGGGGGAUAGAAAUCUCGAGGAACUUGACUAUGCUACUACUCUGAGUUAAAAUAAAAAUUAUACCAAAAAUCAAAAAUUCCUUUGAUAACGCCUAAAUUGCCCAACUCAAAACAAAAUGGGCGGGCAGCAAAAAAGCAACUAAGCAACUCAUCCAAUUUGAUGAAUUAGGGCUAACGCAUACCUCGUAAGGGUGUGCUGAUGCCACAUUUUAGAAAGAGAGACAACGAACCUCGUUCUCAAUUGGGGAACCUUAUUUCAGAAAGCAAUUCAAUUUGGCCUUUAGCAAGUAGGAAUGAUGGGCUAUCACAUGAACGAUAAUCAGACAGACACUGAGUUUGGUAGUCGCGUCAAAUGAAACCUAGAUGGAGAAUUGAGGUGUGCAAUCUUCGGCUUUUGAGGCUAUGGUUUGAUAGCUGCUUGUUUGGAUAAUCGGCACCGUAUUUCUCGUCGAAAGAGGGCUGCUCGAAGGGAUUAAAAUUGCAGUGGUGGUUGGACAAGUUGGCGGCACAAGCUACGAAAGAACUGUGAGCGUUCACUAGCCGUUGGACUUUUCACCUUUUCUUUAGUGCUUUUGAUAACAAUGGAUAAAUUUUGAGAAAAAGUUUCAUGUGUUUGGCAAGUUAUGCAGUUGAUUGGAAAUUAGACAAACGAACUGACCAGUCAUGUGAACCCUUACUCCAAUAAAGUUUUGGCAGAGCUGGUGGGUACCUUAAAAGCCAAAUGCUUCUCAACCAAGUGUAAGAAAACUGACAUGUCCAAACAAAGUUUUGAAAACUUAUUUUUUGGAGUAGAUUAGGCAAAUCAAAUCAUGUAAUCCAAACAUAUUCAUUGUCUCACCAAACAGCUCUAGAAUACAAAUAGCAAUUUUUGAUAAAAAAAAAAUAACUGUCAUGCUUCCAAAUCUACAUAUACAAAUUCGGAACCAACAAUUUGUUUUGCAAAAAUGUCUGCUUAAUCAAAAUUAAAUUUUCUAAUAAUAUUUUGUUGAAUGACACUCUAAGUUGAAAGUCUGAAUUCUAACUUCCACCACCAACUAUAAUCCUUUGACAACUGCAAUCAUUUCAACUAACUAAAUUGAUAAAUUAUUACCAAAUCCUUUAACCAAAUAGUAAUGAUAUGUCUAGUUCCACGCCUAGCAAUCAUCUCAAACUCUAAUUACAUUAUCUAUUAUUUGGGACAAUAAAAAAGGAUAAAAAUAUAAAGUCAGAUAGAACCAGUUUAAAAAAAAGAUUCUGAAAUCUAAUUUUACAUUUCUUUUAUUCUCAGCUAUUAUUUGCUAAAAUUAAAAACCAUGAAAAUAAACUAUUUAUCAUGGAUACAAGAUAGUAAUUCAAAAUGAAGAGAUAUGAAAUAUUUUCUUCACAUCCUAAAUUGCUGACCCCAACAAUUAUUUUACACAUCAUUCAUCUUAUCCAGAAAUAUGCAUUUUUCACUAUUAAGAAACUUUAUACUAAUCAAAAUAUCAAAAUAUAAUUAUCUAUCCAUAAAUUAAGAGACUUUGAUUAAUUUUUAAUUCUACGAGCCUCACUAUUUCCUUGCAAAUCAUCGUUUACCUUAGACAUUUAUUUGCCAAAUUCUUGCUCUGCCAUUCUAAUGCUAUCACCCUAUAAUCAAAUAAUAAUUUUAAUAAAUAAAAUAUUAAAAUUGGAAUGAAUAUGUACAAUGGCAUUUAUUAUUUUACGAGAGAAAAAAUAGUUUUAGUUCUUUCAUUGUCAGCCUGAAGAUUCUUCAUAUAAUUACCACUCGCCCUCUUGUCAGCCUUAGGGAAUUUUUUUCAAAAACAAAAAAUGCCAAAAAGUAAUUUUAGAAUAAAUAAAAUAAAAACUGCAAAAAAAAUGUUUCCUUAGAUUUAGGGGGGAAAAAUAUUCACAGCAUCACAUACAUACUUCAACUUACCUAUUUUAGGGGGGGGGGAAAGGCUAGAUGAAGGAGGAAGCGACGAGAAAAAAAAAAAAGCAAAGGUUUCUAAUCAGGAGGAAAAAAAUGACAAAAAAAAAAUAUUACUACAUACCAGAGAAAGAUGGUAAGAGUAGAAGAUCAUGAAUCAUGAUUAGCAGACUAAGCAAGAAAGAAAAUAUCAAACCAUCCUUGACUUCCUGAAACAAAACCAUUUAGUUAGUUCAUUAUGGAUAAAAAUGAAAGAAAAUGCAUUAACUAAUCCAAUAGAGGAAAAAAGUAGAGUAAAUGAUUAGAAUGAAAAGCAAAAAAAAAAAAAAAAAGAAGGGAGUACAUAGUGGAAAAUAAAUGAGGAAGCUACAAUGUAGAUGAGGAUGUUUUAGUUGUCUUUAAGCAGGAAGGAGAAAGGAAAUAAGGUGAACAGAAAAAAACAGAAAAAAGAAAAAAAAAAAAUGAAGAUAGCUUCCUCAAAAGAAAAAUGUGUAAUGUGUCAAAAUGAAGGGGAACCACUUGGCAUUCAUUGAGGUUGCUACAAUAACUCUACUUUCUUCUUAUAAAAUAGACUAGAGGUAUUUGAACUGUGCAAAGCACAGUUUGGGCCCCUAGAAAUUUAGUCGAAUGCGGAUAAGGGGCAGGGACCUGAACAGUCAACGGCCAAAUUUUGGCCAAAAAAAUGUGCGGUCCAGAUUACAAGUUGUAUAUCAAUUUUCACAACGUGUGUGAGGCCCGUAAAUUUUUAUACUAAAGUUACACGUUGUGCAAACAAAGUUACGCUAUGUGCAAUCAAAGUUAUGCGCUGUGUAAAAUGACCAAAAUGCCCACAGCCGGUCGAAUGCAUAGCAUCAAAUUAUUUUGACACAUGAUGAAUGAAUAGAAAUAUAGGAGAAAUUUUUGAGCAUUAAAGCAAUUAAAUUUGACAAAUAUUAUUUGAACUCUCAUUUUUGUUAAUCAUACUUUCGUUAUUAUUUUUAUCGUAUAGUUUUUGUUUAUUGUAGGAACACAAUUAACACAAUAUGGAGUAUAAAUAAAAUUUCUCUCAAAAUUUGUUGUGAAGAGAAAUUCCAUCUAUGAAGUCAACCUCUCUAUUUAUUGUGAUUUGAAUAAAGAUUUUUGAACCACUAUGAUGAUGAUAUCCAAAAAGGAGAGAAACUUAAUACACUAUAAGUGCUUUGGUGUAUUAAUAGUAGUAUAGUUUUAGUUAAAACUAAAUCAAAAGCAGUCGUAAUACUUUUAGUACUUUAAUAAUGAGAAAAAGUUUAAAAAACUACUAAAACAUAGCACAAUCUUUAACAUCAAUAUAACUUACUAUAAACUUUCAUAUUUUUCUUUCUUCUGAUAGAAGAAUCCAGUUCAUCUAUUUAAAUUCUGCUAAAGGUGACAACAUUAUCCUGCAGCUCCUGAAUAUAAAUAGCAAAGUUAGAUAAAAAUAUGAAUUGCCAUGUUUCCUGGUCUACAUAUACAAAUUAGAAUUGAACUAUUUUUUUUAUUGCAAAAACAUCUUCCUAAUCAAAAUUGAAAUUUCUAACAAUUUUUUGUCAAGUCACACUCUAGGCCGAAAGCCUCAAUUGUGACUUCCACCACCGACUGCAAUCCUUGUAUACCAACCCAAUUCAUACUACAACACUUGAGUAAUUAAAAAACAAACAAAAAUUAACUUUAGUUUAAAUAUAUACAAAAUCUUAUUGGAUCCUUCAAUUAAAUUUAAUAGACCAUAAAGUAAUUGCAAAAAGAAAGAAAUGGCGAAAAACGGAGGUACAAGAAUGCCUAGCUAGAUUUAUCUUGGUGAAAAUAUCACAUGAUAUAUCUUUCUUCUAAACAAAUACACAAAAUUGUAGAUAAUUACAAAAUGUAACCAAAAACAAAGAAAAGGAAACAAAAUGUGAAGUAAGAAAUCAAAUCAUAGGAGAAGAAAAUAAAAGAAUGAAUUUUUGUUCUAUUAUUCAUAGAAAAUGAUCAUUUGUAUAAAAUGAAUUCUAAAUUUUUUUUUACAUAUUUUAAAAUUUCACCUUUUAUCCAUGAAGAACUACCAAAUAAAACAUCAUCCUAUAAAUUUAACAAACAAAUGCUAGUUGGCUAUAACAUUAUGAUAAAAAAAAAUAGAGCAAACAUGCGAGGUUAGAGAUGAAGAAAAAAGGAAGAAAAGAAAAUGUAAAAUGGGAUAAAAAAUAAUAAAGAAUUCUUUUUGCUAAGUAGUUAUCAUCUUGACAAAAAAAAAAAAAAGAACAUGGCAACAAUCUUAGUUAGAUUAGUUUUAAAAAAAUAAAAAAUAAAAAAUAAAAAAGGUGAGGGAUGACAGUAGUUACUGAAAGAAGAAAAAGAAGAGAUGGAGUUGAUUUUCUCAAGGAGAAAAAAUAUUUUAAUCCUUUAACCCAAUUGAGUCAAAAAAAGGGAAGGAAAAAUUCUGGUAAAAUAAUCAAAGGUCCACUUGUAAAAAAUAUAUACAAUACAUGUGUCAAAAAAAUGGUUAGCUACAGUAACUUGACUUUCUUUUAUAUACAAGGUAGAAAUAGAAAAUAGAAAAAUAGAUGUGUGUGUGUGUAUAUAUAUUCAUGAUAAAUUAAAUAAAAUUUAAAUAUAUAAAUGUCUAUACAAUAAUGGGUAGAUACUCCAUGUCAUUUUUGAACUUUUAAUUUUUCCUUAAAAAAAUUAAUUUUUAUUCUAACCACUUGAUCACAUUUGCUAAUAUAAUCCCUCACAACUCCUUAAAUAUUGUAACUAUUAAAUUAACUAUAACUGUAUUAAAGAAAAAUCACUAAUAAAUCACAAUACUUUCAUGAAGAAUUUAUAUAAAAUUUAAUUUUGUAAAAAAUUAAUAUACUCAUAAAAAUUAAUAAUUAUUUCUAAACUACACACACAUUAGAUAUGCUUUUAACAGUAGUAUUAAUAAGUGCUCAUCAUCUGUUAGAAAAUCCUUAUAGAAAUUCGAUCCCAAUAUUUAUAAAAAAUAUUUUCAGCACAUAGAUGUCACAUCAGGAGGGAAAUAUAUAUAAAAAAAAGGUAAAGAGUUGUUAGAUAUAGUUAAUAUAGCUCUCAAACUGUUAAAAUAACACAACUUGUUUGAUGUUCAUUUUGAGGUUAUAGAAUCCUGCUAAUACAAUUUAUAAAAUUUCAAUAGAUUAAAGAUUUUUUUGCACAAGAUGCGUGAUUUUUGUUCAAAGCUGUGUCAGUUAUCUAAAGUUAUCCGUGAAAUAAAAUCUGCAGCAUCUGUGUAUAAAAUUGGACUGUUAACUCCAGCUUGACAGUCAUAUAAAGUAAAGUUGCAAAAUAUAAAAAAAUUGUCUUGCAAUCAUUUGGCUAAACUUUAGAACUUCUAGUAUAACCUAAAAAGAGUUAGGGCACGCAGAAAUCACUAUUGAUCUUUGGGGGAAGAAAAAGUUAGCAAAAGUUAGAGGAAUUUUGCAGAUUAGAAAAAGGUCACAUAGUUAAGCCUGAAUGCUUCUUUAAUCCACCUGUGUUUCUUGGGCCCUGUUUGAUAACUUAAUUUGAUAUUUAAAUUUAAUAGAUUCACAUCUUCAUAUAUUUAAAGGCAUUUGAUAACUAAAAAUAGAACAUUUAAAUUAAUUAAAUGACAUUAAAUUUUAUCAAUAAAAACUUGCUUAUAAAAAUAAAUAAUAAAUUAUUCACUUAUCACUUAAUACAAAAUAUAUUCAAAUAUUAAUAUUUUAAAAUCUAAUAAUUCAAUAAAUUUUAAAUUUUAUCAAAUGCAGCGUUAGUUUUGCAAAUAGUAAUCAAAGACAAAGAUAAUAGUCCUUAAGCCUUGAGCUUCCGUGAAUCAAUAGGCUUGGCGGCUGGUUCAAAUCCUCUUAUUUCUUGCCUGAAAAUGAAGCAGUACUAGUCUUGCAAUGAAUUGUGAUCCCAUUGGACACGACACGCAAAAGUAGCUUCAUAGGUCGUAAAUACAUACCCCACGUGGAAAUUACAACAUUUUAAGGGAAAGAAGAUGCAGCAAAGCAGAAAUUUCAAUUUCAAAUACAGUCCCAAUGUUUUAGAGUCUCCUAAAAUUAGCUUUACUCUUCCAAUCUUUAUAAACUUCUCCCAUUUCUUUUGUGUUCUUUAACGUUCAUCAAUUAAUCGUUAUUUCUAUCACUCAAUUCAGCUAGUAAGAAUAUUUGCUAAUUGAGCAUGAGGUUCUUUAUUUGACUUUUAGCCACUCCUUUUGCUCUUAUGCUGAAUAAGAUUUGGAGUCUCCCUUAAGUGAAAAGGAGAAAUAAUCAUUUUUUGUUAGGUUAGAAAUAUUUGAUUUCUUUUUAAAUUUACAUUCGGGAUCUGUUUGAUAACUUUUUGAUAUUCACAUAAGGGAUCAAAUAUAUGUCUAAGAUAUACAAAAACCUUUUAAAAUGCAUUAAAUGCAUAUCUCUUCAUUCUAAAUUUAAAACUUUCAGUACAUUCAUAAUUUAUAAAAUCAGCAAUUAUGACUUACAUCAUUAAAAUUAAAACCUAUACAAAAUAUGCAUCUAUGAGGAAGGAGUGUGGAUUUAGCGUCUCUAAUCUUUUCUUUUAGCCAAAAAAGUAUGGAUAGCUCAUUAGUUAAAACAAAUUUAAUAGAUGGUGACCUUACUUAGACAACCAUUUUGUUAAGGACUCCACUUCUUCGCCAUAAACAUAUUACCAAUAUUUAGAGAAGUAAAGGGAUUGAAAAUUGGUAUUUUGAGAAAUCUUUACAACCAUACAUCUUUUAAUAAGUUGUAAUUUUGGGGCAGAACUUCCGAAAUCCUAAACUUGACAAACUUGGGAGCAAUUUAGGGAAGACAAAUAAUUUAUUUAUUUUGAAUAGAUACGAGAGCAGAUACAAAUAGAGUAUUUCGUGUACCAGUCAAUUAGAAAAAGAAAUACAACUAAGUAUUUUUACGAGUUAAACAUAAGACAUUAAAAUUUCAACUUAAAUAGGGAUACGCCAUAAUCACCAUUAACCAGAACUAGAAAAGAUUUUCUUUCUCGACUUAGGACAGAGAUCUCUCUGUUUUAAGAGAAGAUAGCAACUUUGCAGAUCGCUUUCUUGGGUUUUAGAUUCAAGGUUGGUAAAAGCACAUUUCUGCUUGAUCCAAUUCUAAAGAACAGGGUUGCAGAAGCCACUGGAAUAGAGGGAAUUGCAAAGAUGAAUAUAUUCAGAUUAGCGGGAGAUAUGACCCAUUUGGCCAGGGAAUUGCAAAGAUGAAUAUAUGCAGAUCGCUGUUCACGUUAAGAUUUAACUAUUUCUGAGGCAAUGAGGUAACUUGGGAACUGGGUUUUGGUAUAUUUUAUGCGGGUUUGGUUUAAAUGGGAAGAUAGUGGUUGAUGGUAGCUUAAACACGAAGAAGUUUGCUGGAUUUGAUGAAAAAGCUGUGAUUUUUGUAAUCAAGUGAUUUGAGGUCAGUGAGGGUAAAGAUUGUUUCUUUUUCUCAGAUUUUAAGGUUAUUUUGUGCAGUGCUUGGUAGUGGUUAGUGUAUUCUUGUUGGGUAUUGAGAAGGUUUCGGAGUUUAAGCUGGAAGUAUGUUUUAAGAAAGGUAGGAUAACGUAUUGUUUUUGGAGUUUAGAUGAAAAUGCAUUGGAAAUAACAUUGGAACUACAAAUAGCUGCGAUAGGUGCAAAAUGCUAAUAAUUGUUUAUCUGGUGAUAUUUGCAAUAACGUGCUGAUUGAAUUCAUCUGGGGGACUCUUGGAAUUCAUGAACAGCUAAUAAAGACACUUUGACAUGUUACCGAGGUCUUAAAUGUAAAAAUGAUUUCUUUUAGGUCUAAGACGAUUUGAUAGUACUUUUACUAGUUGCUAAUCCAUAUAGCAAGCAGUUGGGUCAUGUUAAUCAUUUUUUGGGGCGAGUUCAGUUGUUGCUAUGUUGACCUUCAAAAGUUCUGAUUGCUCCUCCAACCUCCAACACACACCUGUAGACAUACUUGUCCCAAUUAACCAAUGCAAAGGAAGACCACAAAAAGAAAUUGAAAAAAGUCAAGAAAGAUUAAAAAUUUACAUGUUUCAUUCAACUUUUCAGUUACAUAUUUUUUGGUGCAUCUUACUUUUUGGGAUGUAGUUAUUUUCUAGCUUUUGUUUUCCUAUUUUUCAUUUUACAUCAAUUAUUUGCCAAUCAUAGAAUCCUUUUUUUACUUCAGUUCUCAUAUCACUAUUUUUCUAUCUCCUGAAUUCAAUUUGCCUUUUGGAUUAUAUGCUUGUUCAGGAAUGCGUCCCUUCUGAAAUGUAUAAGUCAUGAGGUUCCAUUUUCUGCUUGGCCUUCACUUAGCUGCCUCAAAUAGGGCCUGGAAAGAAAGUGGCUUUUGAGGAACUAAAACAAGCACAAUUGUUGUUUUUGUAAUGCACAGAGGAUUACUUUGCUUGAUAGUUAAGUUUAUCAUUCUUUACAAUGCGUUUCAUAGACAUAGUGUUAAAGAGCUGGUAAAAUGCCACAGAAAAGAGUUGGUAGAAUGACAAAAAAAUAUGUUGUAAAUUGUUACCUAGAGUAAUGUCUACAUUUUAUCAGAAAGAUAUGUACUGUACAGUAUAAAGCAAGUUUCGAUCCUUUGAAAGCUGUGAAUUGGAUACAGUGACUGCUAUCUCUUUAUUCCCUCAUUUCCAGUUUUUCGUUCUCUUCUUCCUUUGGUAUUCUAAAAAGUUAGGUAGAUUUUUAAGGAAACAUUGCAUGCCAGAGAUGAGAUCAGUUCGGAUGUACUAUAUAUGAGUUAGAAUUUAAUUGGAGUGUGAUAUGGAAUAUUGAUUUUUGUUCUCUGUUGUCAGAGAGGUCCAAUCAUGCCAAGAAGCAAAAGAUAAACUGUGUGCAGAAGGAAUUUACUAUGUGGUUAGGACAAAUGUACUUCUCAUGAAUCCAUUAUUGUUUAGAGAGGUAAACGUGAGAUACCUGAGACUAUCAAGAAUUCCAUUAUUGCUUCAGAUGAAUUUUUCGCUCUUUAAGUUGACAGUAAAGUCAAAACUUUAAUUUUUCCAUGAACAAGAUAUGCAUGUGUUCUUUUUUUACACAAGGAAAGUAUCGUUGUGUCGAAAAGUCAAUUUAAGCCCGUUGCAUGGAACAUGUCUUGUUGGAAUUUGGAACUGGAUCUACAUGCCUGCUACAUUCCACAAGGCAUUUGCAACUCUGCAUUUUAUGCUGCAGUUUGUUAUUAUCAUGCUUCUUCUGGUUCCCUUAUCAUAUAUUUGCUGAUUGUUGCCAUCCUACAAAAUGUGCAGGCAUUUCUUUGAAGACCCAAGAGCUCUAUGCUAUUGUCUUUGCUACUCGUUACUUGGACAUAUUUACAGACUAUAUCUCCCUAUACAAUACCAUAAUGAAGUUAAUAUUCUUGGGAAGCUCUUUCUCAAUUGUCUGGUACAUGAGGCAUCACAAGGUUGUCCGGAGAUCUUACGAUAGGGAUCAGGACACAUUUCGCCAUCUUUUCCUUGUGCUACCAUGUUUGCUUUUGGCUCUGGUUAUACAUGAAAAGUUUACUUUAAGGAGGUAUUGGUGCUUCCAUUUUGCCAUUAACAUGUGAUAAUGUUAGAAUUCUUGUAUCCGGUGAAGAUGUUUUCUUCUUGGUAACUAGACAUAUAUGUGUGUGUCUUCCGCUUUCACUGUAUGUCACUAUAUAAUUUUGCUUGAUAUGUGACCUCAGGUAAUGUGGGCCUUUUCCAUAUUCUUGGAAGCUGUUGCCAUCCUUCCUCAGCUGGUCUUGUUGCAAAGGACAAGAAAUAUUGACAACCUGACUGGGCAAUAUGUUUUUCUUCUUGGGUAAUAUAGCAUUCUCAAAUUCCCAUUUAUGAUAGUUAAAGCUGUACCUAUUGUUUUAUCUGGAAAAUUGUCAUUGUCUCUUUAUAUCUUUAGGUGUAUCUUGUGCUGGUCAGUUGUUUCAUUGAGGUUGAGCGGAUUAGCUGCUAUUGGUCUUGCUAAGACACAAUUUUUUUUGGGGCUCUAAAUUUGUUGAGAAAUUCAUGUGUAGAUGAUCUUCACUUAAAUGAAGUACAUACAUCUAAAUGUUUGUCAAACUACUAGUGCUUCUGACUUUUUAUGUGCAUUGCAAUUAUACAAAUGGCCAUACAGAAAUGAAGUUGAGUUUUUUUUUUUCUUUUUUCCUUGUGAGAGGCUUUCUGAUCUCUUAUUUUACUUGUUGUCUUGAAUUUUAUCUUUUUUUGAAGUUCAGGUUAAAACCUAGCUUAUGGUCUUCUUCUGUUUCAGAGCUUAUCGAAGCUUAUACAUUCUGAACUGGAUUUACCGCUAUUUCACUGAGCCACACUAUGUCCACUGGAUAAGUAUGUCUCUCUUUCUCUCCCUCGCUCUUUUCCUGUGUUUGUCAUAACAUGUCCAAGCACAAGCUCUAACCAUAGCUUGCUUGAUUGCAUUUCAGUAGGGUUUUUAUGUUUCUCUGUUUAUGAAAAGCUAACACUUUUCUGAUGGUUUAUUCCUGGCAGCUUGGGUAGCAGGGCUUGUUCAGACUGCACUUUACGCUGAUUUCUUCUAUUAUUACUUCCAAAGGUGAAAUUCCAGCUGAGGCAUUUACCUGUAAGCUUGUUUGAUGUUUGACAGGGAAAAUAACUUGACUCUUUCUUUUGAAUUGCUGCAGUUGGAAGAAUAAUGUAAAACUAGAGCUGCCAGCUUGAGGGCCUUUUUGACAAAGAUGUUGGCUGCUCAAAAACUUAGUGAAGCAAACACUAUUUGAUGUCGAGACAUUUCAAUUUUGUGCUGUCUCCUCUCGUAGGGGCUAGUAGACCUGUCAAGAAGCAAUAGUUCUAAAAGUUCUUUUCCCCAUCUCUCUGGCUUGUCAAGUGAUUGAUACAUCAAUGUAUGCAAGAUAAAACCUUUAUUUGUCACUUGCAUGAUACUUGAGGAAUACUAGCACAUUCUUUCUUUAAUGGUCAGUUUGACAAGCAUUCUGGAUUCAGAAUGGCUCAGUGCCCCCUCUAUCCCUGCAUCUGUAUUCCAACUUUAAUGGUAACUGCAGUUCAAACUACACACACACACAACAACCCCCCCCCCCCCCUUCCCGGGCGCUGCGGGGCAGGGCCUACAAUAAAAAAGGUUUGAAAUGAGUAAAUGCAGUGUUGUUUUCUACAGUAAGAGGAGAGGAAAAGAAGGAUGUUGGCUCUGUUAUCCCCAAGGUUGAUAUUGUGUAAAUUCGCUUGUGGCCAUAACCAAACUGAGUACUCAGUACUGUUACGAGUUUCUUACAGUUUAGCAAUCUUAAUAUUUUAUUUCUAUGUCUAUCACUUGGGGUGAAACAUUGCAGUUGAAAUCAACGCCUAGUUUGGUAGUUUGGAAGAGAAAAAGAAGGGAAAAAAAAGCUGUGGUUUGGUAUUAUAGUAAAAUCUUGUCUUGGAGUUUAGGAAGAUAACGAGGUUUCUUAGCAAAUGUCAUGUUUCUUCUUCUUCAAUCUUUCAUGCGUGAAGUUAUCAUUGCUGUCUUCAAUCUUGAAGAACCCAAAUUUCCAUUUCUCUUCUUUUCUUCCUUAAUGACAAGAAGCAAAAUUGUUCCAAGGUGUGUUUCUUUGUGAAGUAACUAGACCUAGGAAUUUUUUUUUUCAGGGUCCUUGGAGCCAAAAUUUGUCUAAUACUAAAUUAAUCACAGUUGAAAUUAAGUAAUCAAGCUCAAGUUCGGCUUAAACUUCCUCGUGUAAUUUUCACUUUGAACUUUCCCUGACUUGAUGAAAAGUUUUAAAUACUCUAGUGAUUGCAAGCAUGAACGUUUGGAUCAACUUAUAUUGCUUGUGAUUCCAAUUAGAUUUACAUGUUUUGAUUGCUUUUCAUGCAUUCUUAUCUGCAAAAAUUAUUUCGGGAUGCUAUAUAAGUAACAUGUAAUCUUUUAUGCUUGCAAAAUUUUGAUUGCUUAAUCUGUCCAUGCAUAUAUCUUGUUCACUUUUUUUUUUGUUAGAAAUUAAAUAUUAGGUGUUCUUAAUAAUUCUUAAACGUUGUACAAGUGGGCAUAAGUGCACUUGAAUACAUGUUUAUCAAACAAUAAAUGUUCAGUUGGCUUCAUGCUUCGUAUUGCACUCCUUACUUUAUUGUUUGAACUUGAACUCAAACUCAAUUAUAAUUAAACCGAUUUAUCUUCGAACAAGUCGAGUACUAAGUAGCUCAUAUUCACAAUGGAUGAUUGAGUAAUCAACUCAAUAUAUCUUACAAUCAUUUGAGCAUUAAGCAACUAAUAUUUUCAAUGGAUUGAUUGAAAAUCUAUACGAAAUAAUCCUUACGCAUUCAUUCUUGUAACCAAAAAAAAAAAGAGUAAUGCCUUUUUUGAAGGGUUUGCAAGAGAAUUUGCAGCAGUUUGAAGCUCAUAACUGUAUUUCUUUUUUUUUUUUUUUUUGUUAUGAAACAAGAAAACAAUUUUGUUGUUAACCAUCCUCUUCUCAAUAGAGAUUUCUUUUCUUUUCUUUUCUGUUUUCCGUACAAUGGAGGGCUGGCAGCCCAUUAGCUUAGGACAAGUCUCAGGGUAACUACCUCGACAAUGUCCUUUGCCAAAAUAUUCCUAACCCCAUCAGGUGGGUCCUGCAAAAUUGUAAACCUCAUCUCCCCCUCAAGACUGCACUUGGCCAGAUAAUCUGCAACUCUAGUUCCUUCUCUUCAUGUGUGUGUCAGUUUACACUCCCAACUUCUAUUCAAUAACUCUAUAAUUUUCCUGACUAAGUUUGAAUGUAGCCCUUUUUUGCAGUCCUCUUUAACUAGCAUCACACUUGUAAGGGAGUCAGUUUCCACGUGCACACAGCUUAUCCGUUCUUCCCAGGCCAAUUCCAUCCCUCAGACAAUGCCUCAUAACUCAGCAAUUAUGUUGCUUGCAAUUCCCAAGUUGAUGCAAAAGCCCUGCUUCCACACCCCCGUUUCAUCCCUAAUGACAUCUCCUGCUCCUGCAACUCCAGAUCGACCGGUGGAUGCACAUCAAUAUUCACCUUUAUCCAUCCUGUCAUUGGUUUCUCCCAACAUAUUCCUCUCUAUUCAAAUGAGUUCCUGUUUCUCCCUAUCUUGAGUACCUCUUGUUCCUCCUUGAUCAUGUUCAUUAGCUUAUUCCAUGGCAUUCAAGUUGUUGGUAAUCUCCUUCUGCAUUGACUUUAUUCGCUGACCAGGCAUAAUACACUAUAUGUUAAAAUGCAACUUGCUAGCAAAUAUCUUCCCUUCUUCCCACAGUUUUGGACUUGAGGUUCCAAUCUAUCCAUUUUACCAAUGGCAGAGAUACAAAAGUUUCCUAUUUGUCCUCAUCUACUAUACUUCUCCAUGAAUUUUGGACCCAUUGACAGUCUUGCAAUGCAUGCAAGAUGUCCUCUUUCUGAUUCUAGCAUAUUGGACAUGCGCCAUCACGAUGAAGAUGUCUUCUCCAUUUCUCUUCAUUAGUAAGUAAUCUUCCAUGCCUUGCUAACCAAAGUAGAAACUGCCAACGACCUAGCCCCUUCUGUUUCCAAACAUUUGUCCACCCUUUAUCCUCUUGGUGCUCCUAUUCUUCCGUAUGGCGUACUAGACUGUAGGCUGAUGAAGUUGUAAAACACCCUCUAUUAUCUAGACUCCAAGACAUUAUAUCCGGUUGUUUCCUGGAACUAUACAAAGGGGAUUUAGUUUCUUCAAGUAUUCCUCAGGCAGUAUUUGUCUUAACUUCCCUAAAUUCCAUCCUUCAUCAUCUACCCAGUAAUCUAUUACCUUCUUCUCUUUCUCCUCCUCAGGUAUCAAUAUCUAUGCAACUUCUACUAGACUGACAUCUUCUAACCAUUUGUCCUCCCAGAACUUAAUACUCUCCCCAUUUCCAAUUCUCCAUUUUAUCCUUUUACUUAUAACUUCAUUUCCCAUACACUGGUCCUUCCAGAUCCUUGAUGCACCCUGCUUGUAUGCCAUCUGAAUGUUGACUUCCUCCUGGCCCAAUUGGUACUUACUCUUGAGUACUCUACUCCAAAGUUCCUCUAGAUUGGUCCGAUACCUCCAGUUCAAUUUCUCCAGCAAAGCUCUGUUCAUCUUCUCCAGACUCCUUAUACCUAGACCACCAUCCCUUUUCCAUUUCGUCACCGUUCCCUAUCCAACAUGAUGCAUUUUCUUUUUUCCUUCAUUGUCUCCCCAUAGGAAUCUCCUUACACAUUUUUUUUGUUUCCUCCACCACCGCUAGUGGUACUACUGCUGUUUGCAUUAGAUAAUUUGGGAUGGCAGUUAGUACAACAUUAGCCAACACUAGUCUUGCAGCACAUGACAAACACUUACUCUUCCAUCCAACAAUUUCUAGAUCUCGUGCACAUUGUCCAAUAGCUCAGAAUAUGUAUCCUUCUUAAUUCUCCCAUGAAUGAUUGGGACUCCAAGGUACUUCCCUAGAUUCUUGGUCCAUGGCACCCCUGUGGUCUAACUAAUCUUUCGCGCCUCACUUCUUGGUACAUUCUCAAAGCAGAACAAUUUCGAUUUAGCGGCGUUCACUUUUUGGCCUGAUAUCUCACAGAAGAUCCUCAUUAUCCUUUCCACCACAACUGCUUGUUUUAUUGAGGCUUCUACAAAUAAUAAUAAGUCGUCAGCAAACAAUAGAUGGGAGAUUUUAGGUCCAGAUCUUGAUGCCUUGACUGGUUUCCAGCUCCCUUUCUCUAUUGCCUCCUCAAUCUAAUGACAGAGCCUUUCCAUGCAUAAUACAAACAAAUAUGGGGAUAAUGGAUCCCCUUGCCUCAGACCCUGAGUAGGUUGGAUGGCCUUUGUCCUUUUCCCAUUCUAUAGCACCUCGAUUUUGGGCACUCUCACACAGCUCAUUAUCAGAUGGAUGAUAUUUGGGGGAGGCCCUGCCCUCUACAAAGUAUCUUCCAGAAAAUCCCAUUUAAUUCGAUCGUACGCCUUCUCAAGAUCCACUUUUACCACCAUUAUUCCCUUUCGUCCUCUUAGUCUUCUUGUUGUGUAGAGGAUCUCCUAACUAUAGUGAUGUUGUCUCCAGUUUGCCUGUCAGGUAUAAAGCUCCCUUACGCUGGACCUAUUAGCUUCCCUAUAAGUUGUCUUAUUAUCUAAACAAGCACUUUUGUUAUGAAUUUGUAUGUUACAUUACACAAAGAAAUAGGCCUAAACUGAUAAAUUUUUUCCGGAGACUUCACUUUAGGUUUUAGUGUUAUAAGUGUACCAUUAAUGCCCUCAGGUACUCUUCUUUCCAUAAGCACUUGCUUCACGAACCUAACCACUGACUUUCCCACUAUCCCCCAACCUUUCUGGGAGAAAAACACAUUUAUACCGUCUGGCCCCGGCGCCUUUGACUUCCCCAUACUGAACACUGCCUCUUUCACUUCAUCAGGACCCACCUUUGUUCCCACUAGCUCCAUCCUUUUCUUGUCUAUUCUUGGGAAUUGCUGAGUGCAUGGAUUUGCCUUUCUUUUAACUCCUUCUCCUGUGUAUAAAGUAGUACAGAAUUGAACCACCAUUUGUUUUAGAGUCUCACUAUCUGCCUGCUACUUUCCAAACUCAUCUUUUAGACAUGCUACUGUAUUCUUUCUCCUUCUAACAAUUGCUGUGGUAUGAAAAUAUUUUGUGUUUCUCUCCCCAUACAAAGUCCAAUUAGUCCUGGCUUUUUGAUACCAGAAUAACUCCUCUUGCUCCAAUAUGAGAUUAUACUCUUAUCAAUUUGUUCUCCAAUUUCUCUAUGGCUCUACUAUAUCCUUACGCCAACUCUCUCUGUACUCCUUUCAAUCGGGCAAUACACCUUCUUUUCCUUUUGAUUAUAUUACCAAAAAACUCCCCUAUUCCAUGUUUGAAUAUUCUCCUAAACAUUGAAAACUGUCCCUUGAAAUUGUUUUGCCCCAUUCCAAGCUUUCCUAACCUCAUCCCAAAAUCCCCCAUGCGUUAGCUAGGCCAUUUCCAUCCUAAACACAUUCUUCCUCCUUGCAAGUUUUUCCUUGUCUAAUUCUAGCAUAAUAGGGUGGUGAUCUGAGUGAGCUCUAGCUAGAUGCCUUACAUGGGCCUCUAGAAACUUUUGCCUAUAUAUAUAUCACUAGAGGUACCUCGGCUGUGCAACGCACAGCCAGGGCCCUUUAGAACAUUAGUUAAAUACAUAAUAACAAAUGUUUUAGUACAUAAUGAAUAGAAAUAUAGGAAAAAAAUGAAGUAUAAAAACAAUUAAAAUUUGCUGUGAAAAGAAAUUUCAUAUAUAAAGUUAACCCCAAUUUAUUGUGAUUUGGAGAAAAAAAUUUUAACCAAUAUUAUGUGUACGUAAUGAUACCAAAAAAUAAAAGAAAGCAAAUCCAUUAUAAGUGCAUUAUCGGUUUAAUAGCAGCAUAGUUUUAGUUGUAAUUAAAUAAAGAGUAGUCAUAAUGUUUCUAACAUUUUAAUAAUUAGAAAAAAUAUAGAAAGCCACAAAAACCUGUCACUAUCUUCAACAUCAAUAAAAAAUAUACAAACUUGCAUAUUUUUCUUUCUUUUUUGAGAGAAAGAACGAGUUAAUCUAUCCAUUUAAAUCAUGUCUAAUAGCAUUACAAAUAGAUGAAAACACUAUCUAACCAAAUAGUUAUAGAAUACAUAUAGCAAGUUUAAAUAAAAACAUGAAUUGCCAUAUUUGUAAAACUACAUAUGCAAAUUCAAAUCCAACAAUUUGUUUGAUUGCAAAUAUGUCUUCUUAAUCAAAACAGAAUUUUCUAAUAAUAUUUUGUAGAGUGACACUCUAAGCUAAAAUCCUCAAUACUAACUUCCCACCAAAUGCAUUCCUUUGAAAACUGCAAUUGUUUUAUCUAGUCAAAUUGACAAAAAAUUAUUAACUUCUUUAGCCAAAUAGUAAUAAUAUGUCCAGUUUUAUGCCUAACAAUCAUCUCAAACUCUAAUUACAUUAUCUAUCAUUAUGGGCAAUAGAAAGGGAUAAGAGUACAAAGUCAUAUAGAACCAGUUUAAGUAAAAGAUUCUGAAAUCUAAUUUUGCACUUCUUUUAUUUCCAAACUAUCAUUUGCUAAAAUUAAAACCAUGAAAAUAAACUACCUAUUAUGGAUACAAGUUAGUCAUUCAAAAUGUUGAAUGAAGAGGUAUAAAAUAUUAACUUCACAUUCUAAAUUGCUAGCCCCAACAAUUAUUUUACCCGUCACCCAUCUUAUCCAGUUUAUAAGCACUUUUCACAAUUAAUAAACUUUAUAUAAAUUAAAAUAUAAUUACCUAUCCAUAAAUUAAGAGAUUCUGGUUAAUUUUUAAUUUAAUAGGCAUCAUUUUUUCUUCCUGGUCAUCGUUUACCUUGGAUUUUCAUUUAUUAGAUUUUUUUCUCCUCUACUAUAGUACUAUCACCCUAUUAUCAAAUAACAAUUUUAAUAAAUAAAAAAUUAGAAUCAGAAUGAAUCUGCAUAAUGGUGUUAUUUAUUUUAUGAGGGAAAAGUAGUUACAAUUCUUUCAUUGUUAGCCUAAAAAUUCUUCAUGUAAUCACCACCCGUCUUGUUGUCAGCCUUUUCCAAAAAUAAAAAGAUCAAAAAGUAGUUUCAGAAUAAAUAAAAUAUAAAAAACUAAAAAAUGUUUCUUUAGAUUUGGGAAAAAAUAUUCACAGCAUCACAUACCUAUUUUGGGCAGAAAAGAAAGUCAGAUGAAGAAGAAAUAGGUGAGAAAAGCAAUAAGCAAAGAUUGCUGAUCAAGACGCAAAAAAUGACAAAAAAAAUAUCAAAUAGUAUAUACCAAAAAUAGAUAUUAAAAGUAGAAGAUCAUGAAUUAUAAUUAUUGGACUAUGGAAGAAAGGAAAUAUCAAACCCAUUCUUGAUCUCCGAUAAUGAAAUCAUUCAUUUAGUUAAUUAUGGACAAAAAUGAAAGAAAAUGCAUCAACUAAUUCAAUAGAGAAAAAAUAUAAUAAAUGAUUAAUUAGGAUGAUAGGGGAAAAAAAUGGAAUACAAAGUGGAAACAAAAUAAUAAAUCUGCAGUGUACAUGAGGAUUUGUUUAAUUAUCUUUAAUCAAAAAGAAGAAAGGAAAUAAAGUGAACAAAAGAAAAAACAAAGCAAAAUGAAGAAAAGAAAAGGAAUGGGCCACGUGUCAAAAUGAGAGGGAUCCACUUGGCAAUCAUUGGAGUUGCUAUAGUAACAGAAAGGAAAUAUCAAACCCAUUCUUGAUCUCUAAUAAUGAAAUCAUUCAUUUAGUUAAUUAUGGACAAAAAUGAAAGAAAAUGCAUCAACUAAUCCAAUAGAGAAAAAAUAUAAUAAAUGAUUAAUUAGGAUGAUAGGGGAAAAAAUGGAGUACAAAGUGGAAACUAAAUAAUAAAUCUGCAGUGUACAUGAGGAUUUGUUUAAUUAUUUUUAAUCAAAAAAAAGAAAGGAAAUAAAGUGAACAAAAGAAAAAACAAAGCAAAAUGAAGAAAAGAAAAGGAAUGAGCCACGUGUCAAAAUGAGAGGGAUCCACUUGGCAAUCAUUGGAGUUGCUAUUGUAACUCCACUUUCUUCUUAUAUAAUAGGUAGAUUACAUAAUGCAUGGUCUAACUUCUCCCUAAUGUUAGAUCCUCCUUUCCUUGAAUUUGUCCAAGUGAUUGCUGGGCCGGAAGAACCCAAGUCAAUCAAGUUACAAGCAUGUAUGCAAUCCAAAAGUCCAUGUCUUUUUCUCUUCCAGAAAGAAGUUUCUCCUUUUUUCUCUUGGUUCGAUGUUGUCUCAUUCAUAUCUCCAAUCACCAACCAUGGAAACUUUAUAGUGGAACUUAUUCUUUGCAUAUAAUCCCAUAACCUAAGCCUUUCAGUCUGUUCGGGAGAUACAUAGAUUGCUGACAAUAGCCAACUUGAAUCAUCACCUCUCCUCACUAACACAUUUAAGAUUUGCUUAUCUUUAGUUAUCUCCUCCACUCUAGUUUUUUUCUUAUUUCAGAACAUCCAUAUUCCCCCUGAGUAUCCGUUGGCGUCUAUGCACUCUUUCUGAUCAAACUUCCAACAUUUCUGGAUUUUCUCAACUUGAUCAUUAUGACUGCGAUUUUCUACCAAAAUCAGCAUAUCUAGUUUAUGGUCUUUCAAUAUCUCUUUUAGAUUACAUCUAAGUCUCCUAUUUGCCGUGCCUCUUCCAUUCCAACAGAUUGCCUUCAUCAUUACGUAUGUAGGUGUUUCGGCAUUAAUGCCCUAUAACCAUGGCCUCCUCACCCAACUGUGUCUUCGGGGCCAUUCUGGGUCCUUUAUCCCCUCGCGCGAGUCAAUAGAUUCCUUUAUACUGAUUUGACCCCCAGUCUCUUGGUCCUCAUCACCUUUCUCUAGCCUUCCUCCUUUUUUGCUACCCCCUUAUUCUCUUCUGACUCCAUUCCUUCAAAUUCUGACUUAGAUAUGGUGGGGUUGUAGUGGGAUUGUUUCUCCGUCCUUUCCCAAUUUGUAGCAAAGGGUGUCCCCAGUUCAACAUCUCAUACACACUUGCUGGGUUAACCCCUCUAGCCUGCUCUUGUCCUCUAUUCUCAGCUAUAUGCACCUGCCUAGCUUCAAUAGGCAUCUGUAGUUUAAGUCGCCUUGCUGACUCUAAACCAUUAACCCCUUUAUCCUUUGACUUCUUCACACUCUUGCUCCUCUGAAAACCCCAGUUUUACCAAGCUCCCUGUAGUGCUGCUCUUUCCCUUAGUAGCCCUUUUCCUCAAACCUUGCCCUCUGUUACCUUCAUCUCCUUUGAACGCCAUGUCUACCAUGGUCCUCGGUAUAGCAAACAAUUUUUUCUUCAUUACUUCUAUUGUAUCCUCUUUUUCUGAUUCCUCCGAUGCUUCAUUCUCUAUGUCCAACAAUCUGAAUCUAGAGCCACUAACACUAUCUAUAGGUUCUUUAUCCUUGAUGACCUUUCUCCUAUAUCUCUUUGUUCAUUUCGGCCCUCUUGCCUACCUACUUUCCCUGUACUCCGAGUCCGCCCUUUUCCUUCUUGUCACAACACAUAAUCUAUAAUAAUUCACCACUCCCUUUAACAUUUGCAUAACACAUAAUCUAUAAUAUUUAUAAGAGUAGAAACUUAACAAACUAUUUACAAAAAUACUCUUACUAAUUUAUUAUUUACAAGAAUACUUAUAUUCUCUUAAUACUCCCUCUCAAGUUGGAGCAUAUAUAUCUAAACACCCAACUUGUCACAGAUGUAUUUCACCCUAAAAUCCCCUAAACUCUUAAUAAAUAAAUCAACCAAUUGAUCUACAGACGGUAUAUGAGAUGUCUUAAUGACUCUAUAUAUUGAGUACAUAUUUCCUUUGAUAUAAAUAAAUCUCAUUUUUAGAUCGACAUAACUCAAUGCCUAGAAAAUAAUACUGUAAAUAACCUAAAUCCUUUGUCUGAAAGUUUGCCUGCAAAUUGGAUUUAAGUUUCUGGAUCUCCACAACAUCAUUACUUGUAAUCACAAUAUCAUCCAUAUAAAUAAUUAAUAAAAUUUUACCAGCAUUAGAAUGUCGAUAAAAUACAGAGUGAUCUACUCCACAUCUUGUCAGAUCGAACUCCAUGAUAACACUACUAAAUCGGCCAAAUCAAGCCCUAGGAGACUGUUUCAAUCCAUAUAAGAAUUUUUUCAAACGACAAACCAAUCGCGAAUUCUCCUCCUGAACAACAAAGUCAAGAGGUUGUUCCAUAUAUACAUCUUCUUCCAAAUCUCCAUGUAAAAAAAAUAUAUUUCUCAUAUCCAACUGAUGCAACGGCCAAUUAUAAGUUGCUGCCAAAGAGAUAAGAAGAUGAACUGAGAUAAUCUUUGCAAUAGAAAAAAAUGUUUCUAAGUAGUUUAUUUCAUACACUUGAGUAAAUCCUUUAGCUACCAGAUGAGUCUUCAAUCGAUCAAUAAAAUCAUUAGAUUGCACUUUUAUAGUGUACACCCAUUUACAACCAACAAUAGCCUUACCAGAAGGAAAAGGGAUAAAAUCCCAAGUUCCAUUUUAUUCCAAAGCAGACAUCUCUUCUUGCAUAGCUAAUCUCUAACCAGGAUGAUUAAGAACAUGGGUAAUAGACUUAGGAAUGGAGACAGAAUCAAGUGAAACAACAAAAGAAGAAUAUGAUAUAGAGAGACGAGAAUAAGAAACAAAAUUAGAAAUAAGAUGAGAAGUACAAUGCCUCUACUUUUGCGUAGAGCAAUAGGAAGAUCUAACUCACAGGAGGGCGUCAUACCUGGAUUUGAAAAUCGAGAGUUAAUUGAUGAAGUGCGUGGCAUAGCAGGAGUUUUCUUAACCAUGGAACGACGAGAAUAAACUUGAAAGUUAGGACGAGAUAACCGUGUUAUGGAAUCUAGUGGACUACAUAACUCAGGUAAUAAAGAGAAAGGAACUGGUAAAACAAGAGAGGAAAAAGAGGGGCACUAGUCUGACUCACAAGGCAUACCGUAUUUCAUAAAAUAUGGAGUGGAUUAAAAAACAAAACAUCAACAUAAAUAAAAAAUCGAUUUAAAAUUGGACUGUAACAUAUAUACCCUUUUUGCGCUCGUGCGUAUCCCAAGAAAAUACAUUUAAUAGCACAAGAAUCUAAUUUAUCCACCAUGGAAACAAGCUGAUGAACAAAACACACACAUCCAAAAAUACGAUGAGGUAAUUUAAACGCAGGUUCAUGAGAAAAAAGAAUGGAGUGAAGUAAUUGGCCUCCAAGGAUAUUAGAUGGCAUGCGAUUAAUUAAAUAACAUGCAGUUAGACUGCAUCACUCCAAAAUUGUUUGGACACAUUCAUGUGCAACAAAAGUGUCCGAGUAACCUCGAUUAAAUGUCCAAUUUUUUUUUCAACAACUCCAUUCUGUUGUGGAGAGAACAAAAGAACUGAUGAAUAAUACCGGACUUAAUCAUAAAGAUAUUAAAAAGAGAAAAAAUAUUCUUUCGUAUUAUCAUUGCGAAGUAUACGUAUAGACACACCAAAUUGAUUCUUUAUUUCUGUAACAAAUGUACAAAAAAUGGAAUAUAGUUCUGAAUAAUUUUUCAUUAAAUAAAGUCAUGUAACUCUUGAAAAAUCAUCAACAAAGAUUAUAAAAUAUUUAAAACCUAACUUUGAAGUGACUUGACUAGAACCUCAAACAUCAAAAUGAACUAACAAAAAGGGUUCAGAAACCCGUUUAUUGACUCUAGGAGCAAAAGAAACACGAUGAUACUUUUCUAACUGACAAGACUCACAUUCUAACGAAAACAAUUGACUCAAAGUAUGAACCAAUUUUUUCAAAUUUUGUAAAGAUGAAUGACUUAAACUACAGUGAAUUUGAAGCGGAGAAACAGUAACAGGACAUGCAAUCGAACUAUUGGAGUUGAGAAAAUAAAGACCAUUAUACUCAUCCCUCCACCAAUCGUCCUCUUUGUCUUCAAAUCCUGAAUGACAACAAAAUCAGGAAAAAAUAAUUGAACACUGUAGAGAUUUAGUGAACUUAUUAACAGACAUUAGAUUAAAGGGCAAAUUGGAUACGUAAAGAACAGGAGACAGCGGAAGAGAUGAGUUAAUUUCUACAGUGUGCCUAGUCCUUUAAUUUUAGUGGUAGAUCCAUCAGUUAAAGUAACAUGAGAAAAGAAGUAGACUUUUGAAAAUUAGAAAAAUUUUUAGAGAUACCUGACAUAUGAUUAGUAGUCCCGGAGUCAAUAAUCCAUGAGUCAUUACCUUUUUAUGCUAAAGAAAAGAGGGAAGAGAUGCGUGAUUUGUAACUUGGUACUGUAGGAAUUUAACAUAAUCUUUCUCGGAUAUAGUAAAAGUCUUCUGGAACCCAUGUGCUGAAAAACUUAAUUUAACUUGGUCAGUGGUAACCACAUUAGCAUAACUUUCAACCAUAGCGAAUAGCACUUCAAACAAAAAAAAGUCAAAAUUUGCGAUGAACAAUAACACGUUAAUAGUACUCGUGAACAGUACUUUUGAACAGUAAUGCGUGAACAGUCGGUGAACGUACGCAUGAACAGUCGAUGAACAGUAUCGUGUGACGCGAUGACUAAUAUCACGUGAACAAGACUUUUGCUAGAUGUUUAACUCUAACUCUAGAGCUUUUGCUCUGAUACUAUGAGAACAGGUAUUUUGAAAGGAAAAUAUCUAAUCACUGUAUUAUGAGUGACCAACUAAUAUUUAUAGCAGUACAAACCUAACAAACUAUUUACAAGAAUACCCUUACUAAUAUAUUAUCCAUAAGAAUACUUAUAUUCUCUUAAUAAAAAUAACUACAGAACCAUCAUUUAAUUGUACUUCAACUUUGAACUAUUAGUUAAUUUUUCUUUUCUCCAAACAUUCAUGAUGUAGCUUAUGUGAAGUCUUUCUUCCACGAAUAAUAUUAAUCUUAACCAUUCUUCUUACUACCUUCAAUAACUGAGAAUUUACACAAAGGAAAAAUCAUAUUUUUCUCGUGAGUUACAAAUAAAUCAAGCAGCUUACAAAUGCUAAUGAGUUUACUCGAUCAAAAUUCGAUUUGAAUUUGAUCAAUGUUCUGACAAACCUCACAAAAAUGGUCACCACUGUCACAAUUCAACAUGAAAACAAUGCAUGCAACCCAUAGCUCUAACAUGUUGUCCGUGCACCAUUUCCCCUUGACAAACCUCACAAAUGUGGCCACCAUUAUCACGAUUUUCUUUUACUAGAAGGGAAUCACCACGCGAUGCGCGGUGUUAAUUUCAUGUUGCCCAGAAAAUGCCCAAAUUCAUAAGUGGAGAUAUCAUGAUUUGGAUGCAUUGCAUUUAAGUUAUUUCGUUAUAAAAUGAUUAAACUUUUAAAUAAGCGAAAGCGUGAGCAAAUAAAUGGGUAACUUUUCUCGAUUUCCAAUUGCUAUGCAUGUUUAGCUAAUCCUUAUCCCUUCUCACCAUUUCAAAUUUACGUGAUCCUUAUCCGUUAAUCUUAUGAACUAAUCUGGAACACAGAAAAUUGAAAUCACAUCUACAAAACCAUUCAGCCUUUUUUUUUCUUCCAAGGAGACAGUAGCAUCGAACUUCUUAAUUGCCUUCGAUGUGCAUAUAGCAACUCUUAGAAGACGGCGACUGACUCAAUGUGAAACCUAAAAUGUUAAUUUUCGAAAGGACUCCUCAGAGAUAGAGGCAGGAAUUUCUCGAUGACCGUACACGUCAGGAGUCCAUCCAGGAAAGUGUGGUACAUCCUCUUUCCGUCUCCUAUUUGCAGAAGUCCCAAGUACUCUGAAUGAGCCUCACGAAGCCCAGACUGCGCGGGUGGUUCAUGCUAACCACCAGACUGACGGAACCACAUACACAAGAAGGCACCCUUGGCUUCGUCUUCACCUCUCCGAGCCACUGCAUUUCCGCCAGUGGACAGCAUCAUGCGGAACAAAGCCCAUUCACUAUCAUUAGUUCUUAAUCGUUCGUCGACUGCCUCGAGCCAGCAAGAUAUCUCUCCCGAACAAGGUAAGAGGAAGCUAGGUAGAUGAAGUUUGUAUGAUCUAUCAACGAUCAGCACCAGUUACUAUCAUGACAUUGGCAGUCCCAUAUAUUUAGUCCUAGAAUAUUGCAUAAGCUCAAACCACUGCACGUAAAAUACAGAAAAAAUUGGUUAGACUCGGAUCAUAAUAUAUAGUGCUACAGUAGUAUUCCAUACCUGAGAGAGAGAGAGAGAGAGAGAGAGAGAGAGAGGAGAGAGGAGGGGGAACAGAACCAUCUCACACAACUUAGAAAUAUACUCUCUAUUUAAAACGUUACUAUGAAGCUUUGGUCUGACUAUGUUCAAUUUUUUUGGUUUUGUCAUGUCUACCUAGUAAUUGCUAAGCAUCAGCUGUGUUGCAUAGAAACACGGUGGAGUCAAUAAUCAUCUAGUUCAUAUUUUCUCUCAUGCAGAAAUGGAGAUAUUCUAUGGAAUCAACAAACUCAAUAAGAUAAAUACAAAAUUCUGAUUUUAGGUCCAUGUAAACUUUCUUGCUUUCCAGUUUUACCUACUACAAACAAAUUAAUAGUUUUGGCAUUUUAUCAAACACUUGAUUUCAUAUAAAUAUCAUUGCAUUAUUACAGAAAUUUAGAAUUAAAAAAUUCUCAAAUGACAUCUAUAAAAUACUCAAAUGACUACAAAUUCUAGUAACAUUAUAUCAACUUUCAUGUUUCAAAGGUUUAGGAAACAUGCCACAACCUAAUCUUUUGAAGGCCAACUAAUCCAUGAUAACCAAUAUCAAAACUUACACCUAAUAGGUUAUAAUCAUAAAUAAAUCAACAAUUCAAGGGAAAAUAAAAAAAUUUUACAAAAGGACAGAGCAAAAAACCUGUAAUGUGACAAAAUCAAGGAUAACCUCUUCUGCAAGGGAAAAAAAUGCAAGAUGAUGUUUGGGUACAAAUGGCAAUGAAAUAGAUACAGUCAAAUAUUCAUUUACUAUAACCUACCCAAAAAUAUAUAUAUAUAUUCGCUUACUAUUACAUACAAAAGGCUGGAAAAUAAUCCCUCACUACAUAACUAGAGUAUUUCGAAAAAGAAUUGAAGAAUUUUCCCAAACUUUGACAUGAAAUAUAAAAAAAACGUAAAUUAGGAAAAAAGAAACCAGGAAAAAUUUCUUAUAAAGGCAUUAGAUCGGGAAAAGUUCCAAAAAAAUUUCUCAGAUUUGUUAAAUCCUUUUUAAUACUUUUUGGCCAAGAGCAAAAUUGAGAUACAAAUACGGCAAGAAAAGGAAGAAUACCAGGCAAAAGAGGGGGAGGAAGAGCAAAACUAACCACGUGUUUUAGAACACAAUUUUAAAAACAGAGAAAAAAAUCUUACAGAGUCUCACAAGAAUGCUGGAAGAGUUUCCAAAAUUUUCACCUGCAAUAUCACAAAUAAAUACGAAUUAGAUUAGAUCAGACAACUAAACCAAAAAAGAAAAAUAGAAGGCUAGAGAAAAUCAGGGAGGGAAAGAAAAAAAUACCAACCAUCUGUUUUGAUCCUGAUGUUGCCGGUCAUGGAGAAUAAGAGAGAUAUCCUUAACUAUAGACACAGAGAUCCGUGGGAUCCUACAUGUACAUGCAACCUAUCUGGCAUUCCGUAAUCAGACGCUAGACACAGCCACCGGAGAUCUAACGUCAGUUUGGUACUCACAUAAACAAAAUCACACAAUACUAUACUAUUAGUCCAUCACCAUCAAAGAACCAGUACACAACUGCCAAAUACUUGCAAGGUUUAAGAGACAAUACAGACCUGCCAACUUUAUUCAAAUUACUUGCUAUAUAUGCCAUGCCUCCAUAUACCGCCAUUGCAACGAAAAAAAAUACCUGGGCAUGGUGAUGUAAAACGAAACCCGCCUAUAUAGAGCAGUCCCUGGCCUUUGGCUUUCCCCUGUCUUCGCAUCACUGUCCCUCCAUCUCGCAUGCUCACACAGUGGGAGUGCGGUGGUCUUCUGCUGAGAAUAUAAGUGCGCAAGACAACAUCACUACAAUUUAUUUCCCAUUUUGCCGUUCCCUCACCGUGUUUUCAUGGAGCCACGAGGUGUUCUCCUCUUAGGUUUCAUCUGCGUUAUCGUCGCCGGUGUCGGUGGCCAAGCUCCGCCCAGCCCACCCACCACUACUCCCUCUCCUCCUACUCCCACUGCACCCACCACAGCCCCCUGCUCCUCCUACUCCCACAGCUUCACCUCUCCCUACCACCAAUCCACCUCCAACUCCAACUCCAACAUCAUCCCCGCCUCCUGUACCUUAUCUCCUCCUCUCGUAGUGUCGUCGCCUCCGCCAGCUGUUACUUCUCCAUAGAAAGGAUUUGGGGGUGUCGAGGAAAAUGAAGAAGAAAAGAGAGAGAUGGUCUUAGAGAGAGAGAGAGAGAGGAGAAUAGCGAUGAACAAGGGAGAAAGAGAACCCUUCUUAAUUGUGAUGUAUCGAGCCAUGCGCUAGUCCCAUCUCGGCAGAAUACGUCAGAAAAAAAAGAACAAGGGGUACAGUAGCCAUGGUGGUCCGGUUGUUUGAGUAUGAGAGGAGAAAGCAACGAUGAGAGAGAAACACUUGAUGGGAGAUGAUGGGAGACAAUUAAUGGGAAUAGGAAUCUCGAGCCCACCCCAUUUGUCGUUCCAACCAAGGAGCAGAUAAGGGAACAAGAAAACUCUCCAAUAUUUCUAGCUGGGCACGUGAUUUUGGCAUGAGGAGGACGACCACAUUACUCAAUGCAGAUUUGGUUCCUAGAUAAUUAGAAAAAAAAAAUUAAAGAUAAUUAACUUUGCUGUUCUUUACGUACUUAUCCUCACUAAUUUGCUCCCUUUAAUGUAAUUAAUCAAAAUCAAAACAGCAGAAAAGCCCUUUACAAAAAAAAAAUAGAAAAAAAAAAGUCUUAUGGAAAAAAUGAACUCUAACUACAGUGAUACAUUUUACCCAAUUAUAUGCCCUUUUCUGGAACAAAAUAAUUAGCUUCGGUUCUUUUGUUUACAAAUUUAAGCUCACAAAUUUCAUCCCCAUAAUUAAUUAAUCAAAGUUAUUCUAAAAGAAAAGUCCCCUCUAAGAAAAGAAAAAGAAAAAAAGAAAGAAAGAAAAGUUGUUUUUGUUAUAGUCAAAGAAGCAAAAAAAAAAAAAAAUGUAACCAAUCCUAAUUCUGUAAAUAAAAUUUUUAAAAAUAAAUGUCCAUCCUCUAGAGUAGAAUAUUAGAGUUACUUUAAUAGUUUGCGUCAAAUUUUCAAAAGAAAAGAGUAUUCAUUUUAACACAGGAUGAGAUUUUGACAAAUUCAUUUUAUUAACUGUACCAUUCAUUUAGGCAUUCAUGUAUGUCAUUGAGUUACUAAAUCACACUCACAAGUUAAUUCCCACACAUCAAAUACUUCUGCUUUUGUGAAAGAGCAUUUCAAAUAUAUAUGUCAAAGUCUAUCCACGCACGAAUAUUUUUUGUAGAUCAAGUUAUUAAGCACCAGAAAAAAAAAAAAAGAGACUAGUUAUUUAUUAAGCCAAGGCCCUUAGAUUUUCUUUGUUGAUACACAUAUUCAUCACCCAAAUUGAUCAAAUUCUGCUACAUAGGAACAGUGAAUUACUACAAAAUCAGGUCUCAGGGAAAUAAGUGCUUCCAAAGUGGAAGCUUGUGAAGGUCUAAAAUGUGUAUAAUCAACCCUAUUUUGCUUGAAUUCUGGAUUAGAAUUUUCAGCAUGGUAAAUUCAGACAUAUCAUUAGGGUAACCAUCAUAUUUUGUUUCUCUAAACAUCUGAAAGCACUUCACUCUUUUAAAGUUAGCUGUUUGAUGGGAUUUGGGCACGUACGCUAUCAGGACUAGAAGCAUGUAGCAUGAUUAUGCAUGGGAAUAUCUCAGGAAGGAGUGGGAAUGGUGGCAGAUUACAAGAAACAACUCGACUAUUAAGCCCCCAUUUCUUUGAAGUUGAUGUCCUGGAACAAAUAAAGAAGAUUACCCACCUGGGGCAAUUCUCUGAAGACUACAGAUUAUACUUGAGCAUACAAGUUUUUCCUUUUCUUUGGUAGGAAAAUUUCUGUACUGCCCACUUUGGCAACUUGGGUAAAAUGCAUUACAAUGUCAUGUCCUAGCAUAUAUUGCUUCUGUACCUUAUAUAGGACCACUUUAGAGCGUAGCCUCUUCCCUUCCAUAGUUCCAUUGUAUUGCACUAGCAAGAGAAAAAAGCAUUCAACAAAUAAGCAUGGAUUUCUGUGAAAUCAAUUACACCUAUGGCUUUACUGCAGCUGAUUGGCAAAGCAAAUAAGGAGAUAUUGAAAGCAAAUUAUUCCAUGAUAUCUCCAUUUUAUUAUAACUCAAAAGACACAUGGUAUGGGAUGGAAGAACAGAUGGAAUAAUAGUAGCAAUAGUUACAGAAACUGCCUUGGCAUUUUUGUCCCAUACAUAGACGUAGAUUCCUGUAAUGUCUGUCUUUUAUCCAAGGGACCACAUUCUUGAAGAUCUAUUAAUCUUGAUAAAGUUUGAGAACAAUGAAAAGUUACCACCACAAAAAGUGCUGUAGCACAUGAGUUUCUCCACCACUCCCUCCCCGGUCCUCACAAGAAGAGAAAGAUUAAAAGAAAGAUAAGUAAAAGAGAGAUUAAAAUAGAGGUAAGUAAUAGCACUGGUGUUCAUCAGAGAUAAAAACAGAAGAAACUCGUAGAUCUAUGAGAAGAAUAGAUUGUGAGACAUUUAAACUUGUGUAUUGAGUAAGGAAGAAACAAAACAAUCUGCCUGUUUAAAUACAUUCAGACGUGGUUGAACAUACACAACUAUGGAAAAAAGUCAUGAAUCAGGCACAAGAAGUGCAUCCCAGAUUGUAUCCAUAUCCAGGGAUGGCAUUCUACUUAAUUGAACAGCUUCAGUAUCUACCAAACUUUCUUGGCUCUUCUUGAUAUCAAUCAUCUCACCAGAUUCAAUUUUGCAACCCAAGUCCAGUGGCCACUCUUUUAUGGCAGGGACUUGAAUAUUCAAGCUUUUGAAUCUUGAGUUCUCAUGCAAGACUGAUUUCGGCUGAGAUAUUGGUAACUCGGUAGACUUCUUUGUAGCAGGCAGGCCUUGUGAUAUUGCUUGCAGUUUGGCUUCCAGAAGGGCUGCAGUACUACAGCUGAUGGAAUUAGCCUUAAGUUGGUGUUUCAGGUCCGGAAAGUUCAUAUGUGCAUAAUCUCCCCUCAACAUGUAGGCAGCUGUAUCAUAAGCAAAAGCAGCUUCUUCUGCUGUAUCAAAUGUUCCCAACCACACCCUUGUCCUGUUUCGCGGUAAUCUUAUUUCUGCAACCCAUUUUCCCCAGUGCCUUUGCCUCACUCCUCUGAAAAGCUUUCCUGGAGAUGAUAUUGAUGAUAAAGAAGUCUUCUGAUUGCCAUUUUGGAUUCUUCUGCCCGUGAAUUUCAUCGGUGUUGUUUUGGUGGUACUGAGCCAGUAGUCACUAAAGCCUUUGGAGGAGUUAUUUGUGAUACUCUGACUGAUUUUCAGCCAUGGCAGAAGCUGGCUUUUCCCCAUUUCAGAGAUGGGGAAUAAAGGGUUUUGAGAACAUAGCUGCAUCGGCUCACGCUUCUGGCUCUUUCCAAGAGAUUCUGUUGCUUUUCUGGAUACAUCCAUUAAUGAUGGCUCUUGCAAAAACAAACCUAAAUUUGGGAACUUUGAAGGAGGUGAGGGACAUGGUUCACGUAAUUGAGCUUCAUUUAUUGCAGGGAAGGAUUCAAGGAAAUUCAACGGAAUGUGGCUUCCUGUAUUUUGAGCAGAAGAAGAUCCACUGAAGUAGUCAAAUGUUGCUGAUCCUGAGAGCAAUGAAUGUGCAUCAUAGCCCUUGAGCAUGUCUUUUUGCUCGGAAAAUUCUGAGAAUUUAAUACUGUUUAAUACUGUUGUUGGAAGCAGAAGCCUCUUCUAUUGAAGAACUGGACUCAGGACUCGAAAUCAAUCUGUCCAGUGAAGCUGAUGAUGAUUUUGCAUUACAUCCGCCACCGGAGUCGAUGCAAAAACUCUCAUUCAGGCCACCUGAAAUACAAUUAGGAUCCAUGAGAAAACGUGAUCCUUCAGGCGUUACCGUAAAAAGAGCUGGCAAUUCCUUCUGCAUGAAGGGUUUUCAAUUUGGAAAAACUGAUUCUGCAAGAAAAUGAUGUAUUGAGGAAAACUGAGAACUAGAAAUGAAACUAAUGCUGUUGGCAGAAGCCAGGUAUAUAUAUUAGGCCUUGCGCUAGGUCAUUUUAUGUCAUCACAGGUAUCUUUCAGGCCAUAUUAAAAUAUUGCAGAACCUGCUUUUGUGUCAAUGCUACCAGGUUCUCUUCCAGUUGGGAUCUGUUUCUAAAGAGGAAAAGCUUCUUGCCCUCAAAUACUACCAAAUUCGUGCUUCCCAUUUCCAAUAUUCUGUUUAGGAACCAAUCAAAGCAUGACAAUCAAUGUUUUCUAGUCAUGCCUGUCUUUCAAGAUUACCUGCAAGAUGGAUGUAUAUUCUUCUUGAUGGUGACUACAAGAACAUUAGACCCUUAACUUUAUUUUAUUGGCAUUAUUCAUUGGUGCCUUUAUUUAUUACUUAUCAUGUGAUAAUUCAACAUCGCAAGAUACAUAAUCCCUUUUACUCUCUUAUGAGAGUAAAAUGGUAUUGACUUGUUAUUUAUAAUCAUAUAAUUGAUUACUGUUAGAUUAACGUAUGUUCAGUGUGACACCCUUAAUUGCUUCUAUUUUCUGCAUUAUGACUUGUAUAUGCUUAACCACUAUUGGCCUCAUCAAAUGAUUGACUCCAAGUUUUCAAGUAUUUUCAAGGAAAACUACAUAGUAAUGGAGUUACCAUAAGUUGAAUUGAAAACCUUAUCGUCAACAUCAUCAUUAUCUAGGAAAAGGCCUCAAAAGAAUUCUUUUUAAAUGAGUUUUGCAUCACAAGUUUUAGGAAAUCAUGGCUGUCCUUUUUAGAUCUAGUGCAGGAAGAAUUUGGCAAAGCCAUCAUCCCAACAAGUAUACCUUAUUUGGCCUUUUUUCUUCUGGCAUCUCUACGUGUCCUUUGAGAUGAGCCUGGAGACGCUUUCACCAACUGAUCAAUUUCAAACAAGAAAAGUCCAGAAAUCAAAAGAAACUUAUGAAUGGUCCUUUUCACUUCCAAACUUGAGCCAAAAUAUGGUUAGUACACACUAAGAAUUUGGUACUCUACCCAUUUGCCAAUUAACUAUCAUGUCUGUUUUGAACUUUUGUAUGUGUGUGUAUGAGAGAGGUUCCUUUAAGCCCUUUAUUACCCUUUUGUGAUUUCUCAAGUUAUUCCAAGGGCUACCAUAAUUUCCAGUAGUGCAAUUGCUUAAACAAUGUUAUUUUAAGGAGGUUGCACAUGGUGAAGGCUGGUCUAAUUCUAAUUCUGUGUAUAGAUUAUUGAUUAUUAAUACUUAAGCAGACAUGAGCCCAUGUUUUCAAAAAGUUGCUCUUACCUUUAUUUUGCAAUUCUCUUUCCUAAUCAAAACACACUUCUUUAUUCCUUUUCAAGUCUUGGACCUCAAAUUGAAGAAGACAGCUAGGAGGAAUUUAACCAGAAUUGGCUACAAAUACAUUGCUUUUAGCUUCAAAAGAAAAAAAAAAAAAAAAAAAAGCACUUAGGCAUGUGAUUAGUAGAACUAGCUUGACCAAGCAGACAAAAUGAGAGAUCAUGUGCCCAUCAAAGAAUUUAGCUAAAUAAAGAAAACUAAUCAUUUAAAAAGCCUGACUAUACCAACUGUAUGAGCAAUGAAUAUAUGCUUUGCUCAUCUUUUCCCAUUAUCAUUCAGUUUCUCCACUCAGAAGAAAAGCAUUUUGUCUGGUUUUUUUAAGCUAUUUCAUCAAUUUCAGCAGUUAUCUUUUUUUUUUUUUGCCAACAACGAUACAUUGUAUAACCUCCUCUAUUCUAAUUUAAGGAGAGGGGGAGGCUAAGGGACUUGUGUUAGGGGUUAAUGGGUAUACAGAGCCAACUAGACCAAAAGAGUGCUAUAGUACUACCCUUAGAUUUUUUUUUGGUUCUGUAACUCUCAUCAAUUUCAGCAGUUAUCUUUGCCUACUAUUUGGACAUUCUUCCGUGUUUCCGUGUGUGUGCCACCUCCCUUUGGACAUAUGUUUCAAGACAUUCACGCACUUGAACACUAAUUUUGCCAUUACCAAUUCCCAAGAAUUCAUCAAAGCUACUAUUUGGAUUCCCAAAAAUUUAUCGUAGUUUGUUUGAAAAUUCCCAAGAAUUCAUCAAUGGGUUCCUUCAAAUUCCUUGAAAUGCUCCUAAAAAAUACACUUGUUUCAUUGUGACAAAAGCUUUUCUUAAACAAAAAAAAAAAAAAACAGUCGAAUUUAAUUAGAGUCAUCAUAUUUUGAGAGCAAGUCAAGAAUAAUAAAAAGAUGUUAAUUCGAAAAUUAAAGAGUACAACUAUAUGAAGUCAAGUAUAGUAAAAAGAUGUUAAUUCGAAAAUUAAAGAGUACAACUACAUGCCCUUUUGAGUUCUCAAUUUUUUCAAUUGAAGACCUAAUUCUAUAAGAGUAAAAGUGAGGAAAAACACCAUAUCUAUGCCUUGUUAGAAAGAUGUAAGUCAUGUGAACUUGUACCAUAACAAUUGAAAUAAUUGAGAGAGUCAGAAUUCUGACAAACGAAUGCCCUUACCAGUGAUAUGUUUAGUGCCGCAGGGAAUGAAGGGUCUCUAAAAAUUUCAUAGAAAAUUGUACACAACAAUAGAGAUACCCUAAACAAAUGUACACACUAAAAUAGUCGAUGUAAAAUAACUACUAUAACUUUUGGUACGAAACUUCCCAAAAUGGUAGUAUAAUGCUGAUGUUUCAUGCUAGUAAUUUAAAUUUUUACAUUUGCUGUGUUGGCGUAUAAUUUAUUGUACUUGUAUACACAUUGUAAAUUACCAUUAGGAUGAAGCAUCUCUACAAAUGUCAUAGUGAAUUGUACACAAUAAUGUAUACCCUAGACAAAUGUACACUUUGAUAUAAUCAAUGUAAAACAGCUACAACUUUUGGUAUAAUAACUCCUUUUUUGUUGAUGUAUAAAUUUGUUGCACUAGUGUAAACCUUCUGUUGUAAAGUAUGUGGUAGCUGAAAAUUGUAUGCAGAAGGAUCUCACCCUACCUUUGGCAACUUGAAAGAUGUUGGCUUCUCAAAGUUGCCUACAAAAGCCUUGACUUUAAAGAAAAUUGUGAUCAGAAUAAACAUAUUAUUGUUUCUUUUGGCAGCUUAAGCUGACUAUGAAAUGAAACUACAAAACAACAGGUGCAUGUCUGGUGCAACCUGCCAACCACUUUAGCUUUUGACUAGAUAACUUCACCUUUCAUUUUCCCCUCUAAUUCUUUUAAAGGAUUGAACUUUUAUUCCUGGAAGAUUGUCCUUCCAUGGACAAACUGAGUUCAGUUGUCUAUCAAUGGAACCAGUUACAAAGUCCUAGUCAACACAGAUCAAUGCAUAAUAUUCUGCCAUGACCCACAUAAAGUUAAAGAUAAGAAAACCACUCAAAGAAGAAAAAUGGUGCAAAGGUGAAAUAAUGUAUCCGUAUGGAAUCCUUCUCCUUCAAUUGAUUCUUACUUUAGUUCUACACACUUCUCCAAUCUCCAUCUUUUCGACACAUAUGAGCUUGAGUAGGACGAGAAUCUGUGUCUAAGUUUGUUGAUUGUUGUAUCCAUUUUCUUUACGAAAAUGUUUUGACUUGCCAACUAACUUGUUCAGUAUGUAUGAUGGUUUAAUUGACUAUGUUUUCUUGGCAUUUGUAAUUAUUGCUCUCAAGACAUUUUGCAUUAUAAAUUCAUGUCAGCCUCUUUUUUUUUUUUUUUGAAAAACAUUCUUAUCAGCCUCUUUAAUUCUACAGAAAGAUUUCCAUAUCUUCACCUCUAUGUAGAAAGUAGUCUUUAUUUUUGGAUGAGUUUCUUUUCUUUUUUUUCUCGUGGGGACGAAAUUUUAUAAUCCUUAGCUGAAUUUGAGUUCCUACAGUUUCCUACAUAAAUUUUUUAAACUUGGAUAUUAUUGAAUGUUUCCGGAUAGAAGAUUAUUUUACUAACUUUUGCAAUGUAAUAUAUGUGACAUAAGAAGAUGAUCGGAAAAAUAAAAAAUAUAUUUAAAAAAUGUAUAUAUGAUGCAGACAAAAACAUUUUCCAAAAAAUGCAGAAUGGUGUUUUUCCAUCACAAUGAGGAUAUGAUCAUUAUCUCCAUUACAAUGAGGAUGAAUAAUCUCAUGAAAUCUAAAACGACAAAGAAAUUACUAGUCAAUUAUUGGCAAGAAACAUAAUGCUGUCCUAAAAAUGACAUGAUAUGGCAAAACUUCUCUAUAGAGACUCUAUGAAUAUAUACAAAUCAUGAUCAAGUGCGCCCUUGGGUAACUAGGGUAAAUCCCUAUAAACUUGUAUAGUUAAACUGGGAAUACGUAGACAUCCAGCAAACUUUUUGGAAGGAUUGAUUAAAAAAACUUAUCCCUUUGUGUGAAAACUUAUGUUGUACUUACUCAUCUCCUCAUCAGCAUAUCAUGACUUCCACCACUGUUGGCAUAAUUAUGAUUAUGACCUCGUUCACUUUAUACUUGUUUACAACUAAUUAAUUAAGAUUAUCAACACCACUGCCGUUAACACCAUCAUCUACCUAGUAUUAGUAUAAGCAAAUAAAUUGGAGGACCAAUCAUUUUUGUGUAAAUUGUGGGGACUGAUGAGGAAGAAAACGGUUAGUUGAAGGAAGCAAGAGUCCGAGAAAUUAAAGAAUAGUCGGCUGACGAAUCGUGCAAGUCCAAGUGUCAAAAAUUCAUGGUUCAUUCUUUCAUGACAACUAAUCUUUUUCAAUUAUAUUAUAAGGAUGAUUUGAGCUUUUACUCUAAUAUGUAUACAAUUAUUGAAUACAUAAAUAUAAUAGAUUAAGACAAUAACAAAGUUUCUUUGUCCUAAUUCAUUCAGCUGACAUGUGAAUCCUAGGAUAAUUUUGUUUAAUACAACCAUGUCUCCCUAGAUUAAUGACUGCAGCUCUUGUUUAGUUAUAAACUAAACUGUAACCAUCCACAACAACUCCAUUACAAGAAGUAAUUGCUUAUAUAUUUAUUCAUUUGACUUUGUUUAAUUUUCCUUGUUUUUUGUUCUUUCUCUUCAGAUUUAGUAGUUAUCUCGCGUGCUAAUGGCCACAUUAACCACACAAAUUUAAAAGGCGGCUAUGAGAAAGGAAAAACAAAAGAAAAGGGACUCAAACAAACACUUAAGUAAGGGAUAGCUCACGUAAUAGAAAGUUUAGUUAGUUGAUAAGCUCUUAAUGCAUAAUGUCGUGUACUUUCUUGUUUUUAAAGAAUGCUUAUAAGAGGGUUGGCCUCACCUUGUCCAUGUUACUUGCAAAGAGAGUUGUAUGCUCAAAAGGUAGCCAAUAAGUAAGUUACCAUCACUCCAAUUGAUUACCAAAUUACAAAAAUAAAUUAUAUACACACUGACCGUAUAUACACUAUCAGGGUUGGAUGCAGGGCACAUAUGCAAAAUUUAGAUUUCAAAUUCAAAUUUGAAUUAUGUGUCAUACAUCUAAUUAUGAAAAUGUAUACACUGUAAUGUAUAAAAAAUUAAUUUUAUAUAUAUAUAUAUAUAUAUAUAUAUAUAUAUAUAUAUAGACACAUACAUACAUGUAAACGGUUUUCUUUCAAGAAAAAAGAGCCCACUGCUGUUUUAGAUAAUCAAGCUCUUAUAUAAGUACCUGUAGAUGUAAGCCUAUAUAGCUAUAGGGUUGGUAGAAUUAUGUAUUAGUAGUAGUACAAUAGUACAUAAAGUACUAUGCAAAAAGUUUUAUUGCAAGGAACAUUUCUAUUUCAGAUAUUGAAGUUGUUAUUUAUUGUAAGUGGCCCUUGGUGUAAGCCUAGUUACAGAGUUGGUAGACUUAUAAUAGUUGUAUACUAACUAGGACUUGGUAGAAAAGAAAUUAAAUUAAGGAGGAAAAUUGGAAUGGUUAUUUUAGUUGGUUAAAGGAAUUGUUUUGUAAGUGGCGUGGAUGGCACGUCAUGAAUUGAGCUAACAUGUAGGUAUAUUGGUGGAUGCUUUGUCCUUCACUAUUGGAGAUUUUUUUUUUUUUUUUUUUUUUUUUUUUUUUUGCUUAUUUUUUGAUCUUCUCCAGAGAAUAUAGAGAUGAAUUGCAUGUCUAAAAUUCCACAUUCAUGAAUAAAGUUGACAAAGAGGCCUGUGUACUAUAUACAUUGAAAGUAUGUAUAUAUUUGAAAGUAAAAUAAUGAAUCUUGGUCCAAGAAUUCAAAUAAAAAAAGUUUGGAAAAUGACAAGAAUUGAAUUUUAAGAAAAUAUAAUUCCAAAAAAUUCAUGUGGGGAUUUUUCUCAGGAAUUCGAAAAUACUGUCCUAAAGAGAAAAGGGGAUUGGGAUAAUAGUGGGAUCUAUAUAUCUUAAUAGAAAUUAGAGUCAACCAAGAGAAAAAGGACUGAGAAAUGUGGCAUUAGCACCACCAGGCUUUAUUAGCUCCUCCAAAAAGUACCAAAAAAAAUUUUUUUUUUUUCAGCUUCUCCAAAUUGGUGUUUUUCUUUUUGCAACAAAAUUUUUGACAACGCCAAAUAAUGGAAAAAGCUUGCAUGGAAAUGAACAACGAGAGAAAUUCAUUCUACCAGAUCCCCAUAAACGAAGGAAGUUAAAAAAAAAACAAAGACUCAAGAAAUAAACAAGACAGAACUUGAAAGCUACUGCAUUUGAUUUUUUUUUUUUUUCAAAAAAAGAUUUGAUUGAAAAAAAAAACUGAGAAAUAGUAGUAUAACAAUUCUUAGAACAUAGUGGAGAAUCAAGCUCAGUUAUAUUCUGAACAACUUCAAAAAAUGGGGAUAAAAAAAAACAACAAGACCAAGAAUCUAUAAUACCCAUACGUAAAAUAUUGUAUGAAAAAGACACAUUCAUUGAAUAUAAUCGCCUGACCUGAGGAGUCUCCAAGCAUAAGGUUGUUUAGUCGCUAUAAAUAAAUUGAAGCAGUAUGUAACAAGUAUUGCUAUUCCAUCUACCCAAAAUCACAAUAAUAGUUUGACUGAAUCAUGUAGCAAGUAAUGGAAAUAUGAAAAACAAAUCAGUCUUUUAAAGACUUCCACAUUGUCAAAUGAUAGAUUAAUUAAGUUAUUCUAGUCAAAAUCUUCAAGUUUUGUACCUUGACAGAGUGGACUAAAACCCUGUUCUCGAUUGAUUAUUUUAACUAAUUAUAGAUUUUGAUUUUGGAUAAUCAAUUUUUGUAAUGUUCUCGGUUACUUUUAUAAAUUUUUUAAUGACCAAAAAAGUUAAAAUUUAUAAUCACCCAAAGAGUAGUUUUUACUGAUUCUGAUUAUUCUCUAUGAUCAAUUUCUAUAAUUAGAUUUUGUAAAAUUUAAAACAACCGAGAACAAGGUGAGUUUUGGCUUUAAACGCAUAUGACGACAUGUUCCUCUUUUUUUUCUUUUCUUUUUUGGUUUGCAAGACAAUUUUUUUCUUUUUUUUUUUUGCCCUUUAUAGCUUCUGAUCUAAGAUCUUUUACCCAUUUCCAAAUUGUCUCUAAUAAUUAAGCAAAAAAAAAAAAUUUUUGGCGAAAUUUACGCGGUUGAUGCACCAACUGCUUGAAAUAAGUACUUGAAUUUGACUUGGUAUGAUUCUUGAGCUUUAGCUAUGGAUUGCCAUUCUUUUGAUAUUCUCCACCCGCAUUUUAGGAGAAACUUUUUGGAUAAGGAUAGAAUAUACGUUUAAGACCAUAUCAUUAGAUUAUACCCCAUUGCUGCUUAAAAGUUUCAAAUCAAAAAGAGAAAACUAGGGAUGAUUCGAGCAGUGUCAGAAUAUACUUCCAACUUUAUCAUGAAUUUAAGUCGAUUUAUGCAAAUAAGAACUUAAAUUAACAAAAGAAAUUAAGCUGAAAGAAUAAGAAGAAGUUCAAAUUAUCACCCAUAAAACAAAGUCCACGGUGAACAUGCCACUGAUGGCCAAUUUUUGUCAAACAGGCUUUAAGAUCACCACGUCCCCGAUUGGCAAGUUAAACUGGCUAGACUGGCUAUUGAGUAGGUAUGUAAUCGAGCCGAGUCGAGCUCGAGUAUUGCUAUAUUUGAGCUCGACUCGACCUAUAAAUAACUUGACUCGAGCUCGAUUGAGUCGAAAAAUCUCAAACUCGAGCUUGACUCGAGGAAAUCUUUAAAAGUUCAAGACUCGAUUCGAUAAGACUCGACUCAAGCUUUUUGACUCGACACAUUACUUGUAAAUUCAGUAUAAAUUAUACCCAUAACGGUCAUUUUAUAAUUAUAAUACAUAUAUAUUAUUUAAAUUAUACGGCUCAAAGAGCUACUCGCCGAGCCACGAGCUGCAAAAUUCUGACUCGAACUCGACUCGAAUGUGUAUUCGAGUAGCUCGAGACUCGGCUCGAACUCAGUUUGACCGAGUUCAAACCAAGCCAUUGACCAAGAUACUCGCGAGUAGCUCGGCUCGCGUACAUCCCUACUAUUGAGUUAUUUAUGGGACAACCCACAAGCGGCUCAAUGACCGUAGUAAAGUUUGUCCUCCCCCUAAAGUGGUUCUUAAAUGCUGGGUUCAACCUUAUUUAUGUUGGUUUUGUUUGGAUUGCAUUUUUCUAAAUUUUUUGUAGAAAAAUUACUGUAACGAUUUGAUAUAUGUGAGGUAAAAAAAUAAUUGAAAAAUAUACCCACGAAAAACGUAGUAAUUUUUCAAAGAAAAAUUGCAAUCCAUUCUUAAACUUUAAUUUUCAUUAAGAAAAAGUAUUCAACAUAUUUUAGUUGAGAAACCUUACCGUAAGUCUCUUCUUUCUUCUGAUAAUUUUCGUAACUCUCUUGAUCAUGCACAUCACAAGCGUUUUCUUUUGGGGAAACUGGACAAUUUGAUACUUAAAAUUUUACAUUCAGACUUUGAUGUAAACCAGAAAGGGCCUUUACUAAUUUAACUUGAUGCUUUCUCUCAACCAAAAAUUAAUGCUCGAGCCAUUUUGCAAAGCGUGGAGAAAAGAAACCAAUUAGUUUGAGUUGCCAUAAAGACGUCCACCAAUUGAGAAUUAACUUUUACCACUUCGGAGAAAUUUUGCAUUUGAGAAGUGCAUUAAGUUAGGAUCUCAUCUUACAUUGGCUAAUGGCUACUCCCAAAAGGAUUUAAGACAUUAACUUUUGAGACCUUAAUUGUCGAAUUAUUUGUAAUUUUUAUUUGAGAAACUGUAGAUUAUACAAAAUUAGAUAGUAGAAAUCGAAGACAUGAAGAUGUCUUCAAUAGAGUCCAAAGCCAUUCAUUCUUGCACAAGACUCGAUUUCCCUCAACUCAACAAGAACAAUUCAUCAGUUCUUGACCCCCCGAUCAUACAACCUCCUUGGACUAUUCUCUUCACAGAUCAAUUGAAACCCUCCAAAGCUUGGUGUGUAACCUAACUAGGUAAAGUAUAUACAACUAAACAAUCCAUAUUCUUAGCCUACAACCUUACACUUGCCAAAUGGUAUCUUUAUGUGCAACUUGAGGUCCCUGAACCAGCACUAAGCAAGCCUUUACAAGAAAGCAUCAGCGAAAUAUUCAGCAAAAACCACGAGUAACCUAAUCAACUUUCCUCAUGUCUGAAAUAACACUUUUCCUCGCAUCGAUCAACCUCAAAUAGGUUGCAAUGCAUCCACAUUUUCAAGCAAUUACUGCCUCCUAGGUGACAAAAUCCUUUAAAGCCCUACUCAGCUGUCAGUAUGUGGCCAUCCAUACGGUUAAGCAAAACCAAGUACCAAUGGCAUCAACAGAACCUGCUAUUCUAAUACGACAUUAAAUGGCCAAAACUUUCAUGAUUCUGGAAUUUAAAUGAUUAGACGACAAAGAAAAGCAGAAACCUAAUGUAAAAAUCAUCAGUUUGUUAUCAUGUCACUUGAUGGAACGGACAUGCGGUAAGCUACUUAUUUGAACGCAACACAAGCUAAUUAUAUCAACUCAGAACACCUCUUAAUCUUCUGCUAAAGCAUUUCAAAAAGCUCGUAUCACUCACCCACUUUUUGCAUGUUCCUAAGCCUAUGACUGAGAAUAUACAGAAUUUUUAAGCUCUUAACUCGUACAACAAAAAAAAUAUUCUAAUAGCUGUGAAAUAGUGUUGAGUCCCAAAACGAGCCACGGAAAUAGGGCAGGUAGCUGAUGAGGACAAAGAAAUGCAUUUCCCAAAAAGUUAUUUCCAAAUGGCAAAAGUUGAACCCUGAAUGUCAAGAUUAAUUGUAAGCUUAACCUUUGAGCACUGCAAUACACGUAUCUCAAUUUUAGUUAUGUCAAACAAAUUUCAGGCACUUCACUGUUUAUGAAAAGUAACUGAAAUUUCGGUUAUCAUUUUGACACUUCAUGGUAAAUAGAAGUCUGGCUGGGCUCAUCAUAGGCCUCAUUUCAACAUCCAACUGUAGAAAAAAAAGAUCCAAGUUAUGCAGCACAUCUUUGAGACACCCCAAAUAACAUAUGAAAUGAGUGCCAAACCGUACACCAAUCCUUUGUCAUGCCCACAAUUUUGCAAACUCGACAAGGUCUCCAAAAAUGCUAUACCAUCCUCCACUAGUAGAAGACAUUCAGAUUAAAAAAUAAAUAAAGAAAAGUACAAUAGUUCCCUUCAAAAACAAGUAUAAUGUGGAUGAAGGUUGACUUGGGACCACUCAACUGACAAAUGAGUCCAUAAGUUUUAACAAAUGGAAUGUUUGACUUCCAGCAAGUUGGAAUUAACAGUUUCACAAGAUUACAUGAACAUGGUUAAAAGAGGAUCAUCAGAGAAAAUUCAGGUGCAUCAAACAGGAACACAAAGAUCGACCAACAAGCACCAAAAUCAACAUUACAGUAUCAAUUAAGAUUACAUUGCACAUUAAGUGUAUAUGAAAAUCAUACAGAACAGAACAGAGACCUUGUAGCAGAAGAAAAUACACAAAUACGUAAAGCGAGAAAAAGGGGAAACGAGGGUCUCUUUAAAGUAAGAGACAAUCAGGAAACAUAAUAACAAGAGAGUUCAUUAUUUCUUGUUGCUUUUACCUCCAGCAUCAUUGCCCCCUGCUGCCUGCGCUGCCUUCUUUGCAGCCUUCUCUUGAAGUGCUUUUGCAUCUCUACAAGAUCAUCAAUUAAAGGGUUACGAGAAAGCAAAUCAAAUUACCCAGGUCAAGUGUCGGACACAAUAGUCACGAAUAACAUACAGCAUGUGGAAAUUCAAACAAUUAAUAGAACCACUCCAUAAACAAACAAAAAUCACAUACUAGUACUUACACCGACAUGGUUAUGAAAAUUAUCACGUUCAUUCACAUCAAACCGACACAAAAGCAUCUAACUUUACCUUAUUUUGAAGUGCAGAUGGACCUAGAGGGGUGUUACGAGGAUGCCUCCCCCCAACCCACCCCAAAAAGUCCAGAAAAUUUAAAUUUUUCCCUCAAAAGCUUAACACUACUAAGAUGACAACUACCAAAAAAAAUUUAAGAAUUCCUUCUUUCGCCCUGUUUUCAUGGUUACUCCAACUAAUGAAAUACAUAAAGGUAGCGCUAUUGGCACUCCAUUAGCUGCAUAUUUAUAUUAUCCGAAUUACAAAGGCAAUGGAGUCCCAGUAACCAAAAAGAAAAUAAAAAGGUUCCAAUAUCCUAGUGACAGUACAUAAACCUAACUUAAAUCAAACUAACAUCUAUCCAUGUAAAGGCGUGAAAACAAAAAAGAGGAAAAUUAUACACACACCAAUUCAUAACACACAUAAUUCAUCCAACAGAGUACCAAUCUUUCGAAAUCUCAACAUAAGCAAACACGGUUAAACCACUAUAAUUAUAAAGACAGGAACUUAAUAAUUACAGAUAAACAAAACUCCGAAUCCAGAAAUUGGAAAAUAUAGGAAGCAAAUUGGACAUAAAGAAAAAACGCGGCAAACAGAGAGAGAGAGAGAGAGAGAGAGAGAGGAUUAGUACCUUUCACGGCGUUGCUCAGGAGUCAAACCAUCAUCUUUGUUCUUGCCUUUGCCACCAGUCCUUGCCUGAGCUCUUUCUCUAUCUUUCUCCCUCUGGUUUCCGCGUGAGAUCCCAAUCCAGUCAAAGAAAUUUCCCAAAAUUCACAUAUACUCAUGAAUAAAUGCAGCAUAAAAUUGAAAUUAAUCAAAAAAAAGAAGCGUAAUUAAAGGAUAUGAGUCAUGGUGAGGACGCCGGAGAAGUCGCCGGAGAAGAAAGUCUACGCCGAGGAAGAAAAAUAAAUCAGAGAGCUGUCAACUAUGUGGUUCAGUGCGUG